UUACGAUGGCUGGUCGGGGGCCGAGCGAUGCACAUUUCUCUCAUACGUACGCGCGUGUGUUCGAGGCGUUGGGCUCUAACUGAACCCGAGCGAGGCGUUGGGCUCUAACUGAACCCGAGCGAUUGCACUACAGGCUACGUGUUACUGAAGCCGAGCGAGCAAUCGAUCCCUUGCUGUUAACUGAACCCGAUCGAGCGAUUCCUUCGCUACUGCUGCUAACUGAAGCCGAUCGACGCUGCCUCUGGAUGAACAGUGAGUGUUGUUGGGGGGUUUGGAUGAACAGUUCCCGGUGGGGGUUAGAUGAACAAGAACCCGUGGUAGUAGAGGUCGUUGCCGCUGGAUGAACAGUACCCCGAUCGAUCGAGCCGGUGGAUGAACAGGACCCCGUGGAGGGCUGGAUGAACAGGACCCCGUGGAGGGCGGGUUGAACAGUAGCCGGUGGAGGGCUGGUUGAACAUUAGCCAGUGGAGGGCUGGAUGAACAAUAGCCCGUGGAGGGGUGGUUGAACGGGACCCCCGUGGAGAGGGCUGGUUGAACAGUAGCCGGUGGAGGAGCGCGCGGUGGAGGCUGGAUGAACAGGAGCCCGUGGAUGAACAGUCGCAGGUGGAGGCUGGAGGAGGUCGACGGUGGAUGAAUAGUACCCCGUGGAGGCUAGAGGAGGUCGACGGUGGAGAUGAACAGUAUCCCGUGGAGUCCCGUUUUGCGGUACGCCACACCCCUCCCGAUGAACAGGACCCCCGUUUCGACCGUAGCGCUCCAACACAAGUCUGUUUCCUCCGUUUUGCGGUACGCCACACCCUCCCGAUCAACAGGACCCCGUUCGAUUGUAGGAGGUCCGUUUCCUCCAUUUUGCGGUACGCCAGACCCCUCCCGAUGAACAGGAUCCUGUUUCCACCGUGGCCGGUCGAACACAAGGCUGUUUCCUCUAUUCUGCGGUACGUCAGGCCUUGUUUCCAUCUGUUGUUCCGUCCAAGCCGGUUGGCUCCCGAUGAACAGCACGCGUUCCGUUGCCUCCCGAUGAACACGACGCAUUCCGUUGCCUCCCCAUGAACACGAUGAUGAUGCAGUUUCUCCGUUCCAACCCAGCCACAGCCAUGUACACGAGCCCUGGCCGUACGUAUGCGCGAGUAGGCGUUCGAGACCCCGCCCGUAUGUAUGUACAUGGCUGUAUUUACUUUUUUGCACCCUGGCCGUUGUACGUAUGUGUACAUGCUUGAUACGUCUCCAACUAUUAUAAUUUAUGAAGUAUUCAUGCCAUGUUUAAAAUAGUUUUAUAUGAUUUUGGUAUGAUUUGGUUAGAAUUAACCAGACUGACGUUGUUUUCAGCAGAACUACCGUGGUGUUGUUUUUGUGCAGAAAUAAAAGUUCUCAAAAUGCGCUAAAAAUCAACGGAGAAUUUUUCUUGAAAAUAUAAAAAUACUGGAACAAAAAUCUAUCGGAGGGGAGUCCCGUGGGCCCCACGAGGGUGGGGGCGCGCCCCUGUGCCUCGUGGACUACCCAUGGGGCCCCUUGACUUGUUCUCGACGCCAACCUCUCCUAUAAAUACCCAAACCUCCAGAAAUUAACCUAGAUCAGAAGUUCCGCCGCCGCAAGCGUCUAUAGCCACGAGAAAUCAAUCUAGGCCCUCUCUGGCACCCUGCCGGAGGGGUCCAUCAUCACCGGAGGCCAUGGAGGAGGAUCCCGGAGGGGCCACCAUCGCCAUGACGGCCAAGGACCAGAGGGAGAACCUCUCCCCAUCUAGGGGAGAGCCAUGGAGGAGGAACCACAAGGGGGAGAACCUCUCCUCCUCUCUCUCGGUGGCGCUGGAGUGCCAUCGGGAGGGGAAUCAUCGCCGCGGUGAUCGUCUUCGUCAACAUCACCAUCAUCAUCACCAUCCUCACCUCUUUUACGCGGUCCACUCUCCCGCACUCCGCUGUAAUCCCUACUUGAACAUGGUGCUUUAUGCCACAUAUUAUGAUCCAAUGAUGUGUUGCCAUCCUAUGAUGUUUUGAGUAGAUAUCCUUUGUCUUUGGGUUGAUUGAUGAUCUAGAUUGGUACGAGUUGUAUGUUUUAUUUUGGUGCUGUCCUACUGUGCCCUCCGUGUCGCGCAAGCGUGAGGGAUUCCCGCUGUAGGGUGUUGCAAUACGUUCAUGAUUCGCUUAUAGUGGGUUGCUUGAGUGAUAGAACCAUAAACCCGGGUAAGGGGGUUGUGGCGUAUGGGAUAAAGGGGACUUGAUGCUUUAAUGCUAUGGUUGGGGUUUACCUUAAUGAUCUUUAGUAGUUGCGAAUGCUUGCUAGAGUUCCAAUCAUAAGUGCAUAUGAUCCAAGAAGAGAAAGUAUGUUAGCUUAUGCCUCUCCCUCAUAUGAAAUUGCAAUGAUGACUACCGGUCUUGUUAACAAUUGCCUACGAUAAUUCUGCACACCGAUCCAUCAUUAUUCCACACUCGCUAUUUAUAACAUUUAGUAAUAUAUUCUAACUUUAUGAUAACAGCACCUACUUUUAUAUUUUAGCUCUCCGAUAUCAUGCAAAGUUAUCCUCUUCAUACCCACAACGUAGUUUUAUUUCUCGUUUCUAUUUGGAAGCAAACAUUCGGUGUACGUAGAGUCGUAUCAGUGGCAGAUAGGACUUGAGAGAAUAUUGAUCUUACCUUUAGCUCCUUGUGGGUUCGACACUCCAUAAUUAUCACUUCCACCAUUGGGAAUUGCUACGACGAUUCCCUGCACUUGGGGAUUAUCAAGCUCUUUUCUGGCGCCGUUGCCAGGGAGCAAUAGCAUGGGGUUGAUAUUCUCGUGUGUGCUUGUUUGCUUUCUUCACUAAGUAGAUUUUGUUUUUCCUUUUUGUUUCUGUUUAGUUGUGGGUGAAACAUAAAAAAAUUAAAAGAAUGAAAAUACGAAAAAUAUUACUUGCCUCUCAUGCCUAAAAGGUUUUUCAAAAAGAGAAGUGAUUGGAAAGUUAUGCAUUGAAGAAGUGAGGGUCGACCUUGAGCACUUGUGUUCAUGCUCAUGGAAACAAUGUAUAAUUUUUCAUGGAAGUUCCUCUGUAAAUAAUUAUCCCCUUGUAUAUAUCCAUUGUAUUAUAAAAAUAAUGUGCCAAGCUUUGGUUUUAGGAUGAUUAGAUUGCUUGUUUACUUUGUGCAGUACAAAAUCAGAAACUUUGGCUGUAGCGCGUGAAUUUACAUUUUUACUGGAAAGUCAAAUGGGUCUGAACUUUUUGCGCAUUACUUCUGUACAAAUUGUUUAAAUUUUCCUAUUUGUUCUAGAACUUUUGGAGUUCCAGAAGUAUACUAAACUUCCAGAUUACUACAGACUGUCCUGUUCUUGACAGAUUAUGUUUUCCAUGUGUUGUUCUCUUAUUUUGAUGAAUCUAUGGGUAGUAUCGGGGGGUAUGAACCAUGGUGAAGUUGGAAUACAGUAGAUAUAGUUCUAUUAUGAAAUUGGAAUGAGUUUGCAACAGUACCUAAAGGUAGUGAUUUGCUUUAUUAUACUAACGGAUCUCACAAAGUUUUUGUUAAAGUUUUGUGUUGAUGAAGUGUUCGAAGAUCGAGGAGCUAUCAAUAUGAGAAGAAUAAAGAGAGGCAAGAGUUCAAGCUUGGGGAUGCCCAAGGCACCCCAAGUAAAUAUUCCAAGGAUAUUCAAGCAUCUAAACUUGGGGGUGCCCCGGUUGGCAUCCCAUCUUUCUUCUUCAACAAUUAUCGGUAUACCUUAGUUUUUGUUUUGUUCACAUGAUUUGUGUCCUUUGUGUUUUUCUUUUUCUUUAAGAACCAUGCUAGUAUGAUAUGUCCCUUCAUCGAUUUAUAGAAUGAUUCAUGUGCUUCACUUAUAUCUUUUGAGUAUGACCUUAUAGAAUGCUCUUUGUGCUUCACUUAAAUCUUUUGAGUAUGUUUUUAUAGAAUGCUUCGUGUGCUUCACUUAUAUAUUUUGAGCUUGGAUAUUGGUUAGACUAUAUUAAUUGUAGAAUGCUCCAUGAACUUCACUUAUAUCUUUUGGAGUAUGAAUAAUAUUAUCAUCUAAAGCGGGUUUGGAAGACUGUCAACUUUAGGAAUUAGUGAUCCCACUAUUCUGAAUGAGAAGAAUUUUACUUAUGUGGAGAGUAGUAAAAUUUCUAUGCUUGUGAGAUCAUGAAAAGAAUGCUUUAUUUGAUGGUUCUAUUGUUGAAUUCAUUCAUUAUGCUACUGAAAAAUAUUAUGAGGGAGGAAUAUAUGCUUGUAGGAGUUGCAAUAAUAUCAAGUUUCCUCACUAUGUGCUUAAAGUUUUGAAGUUAUACUUGUUUUGCCUUCCUAUGCUAGUUGAUUCUUGUUCCUAUAAAUUAUGUGCUCACAAAAUCCCUAGGCAUAGGAAGUGUGUUAGAUUUAAAUGUGCUAGUCAUAUUCUUCAUGAUGCUCUCUUUAUGUUUCAAUUCUUUUCUUUUAUGUGAGCAUCAUUGAAAUCAUCAUGCCUAGCUAAAAGGCACUAAAGAAAAGCGCUUCUUGGGAGACAACCCAAUAUUUACCCUUACUGUUUUUGUGUGUUUACAUGAUUAAGAUACUGUAGUAAUCAUGUUUUAUAGCUUUUGUUUCAAUUAAGUGCCAAGUAAGACCUUUGGGAAGACUUGGGUGAAAGUUAAUGUGAUCUUGCUGUAAAAAACAGAAACUUUGCACUCACGAGAUUAGCUGCCAUUUUUUACAUAAGAGUGCUUUUGAGUUGAUUCUUUUUGCAUAAGAUUAAUAGACAAAUUACUCACGUCCACAAAUUUAUUUCAUAAUUUUUGGAGUAGCAUAAGUAUGGUUUCUGUUCAGAUCAUUACAGGCUGUUCUGUUUCUGACACAUUCUGUUUUCAUUGCAUAGUUUGCUUGUUUUCUAGUUUCUAUGGAUUAUAUUUCUCAAUAUAAAUUUUAGAAAUCAUAUGGUACAGUAGGCAUUGUUUGAGAACAAUUAUGAACCUUGUCUUUGACAGUACCAAAGUGAAUGGUUUACUCUUUAUCAUACUAACCUAUCUCACGAAGUUCCGUUAAGUUUUGUGUGAUUGAAGUUUUCAAGCUUUGGGUGAGAUAUCGAUAUGAGGAGAAUAAAGAGUGGAAAGACCCUAAGCUUGGGGAUGCCCAAGGCACCCCAAGGUAAUAUUCAAGGAAGACUCACGCGCAUAAGCUUGGGGAUGCCUCGGAAGGCAUCCCCUCUUUCGUCUUCAAAACAAUCGGUAUACCUUACUCGGAGCUAUAUUUUUAUUCGUCACAUGAUAUGUGUUUUGCUUGGAGCGUAUUUUCAAUUUUACUUGCUGUUUAAAUAUAAUCAUUGGAUCUGAAAUAUUGAAUUAAAAAAGAAUCCUCCCAUGGCUAGUUAAUUAUUUGACUACUCAGUGUUCUUCACUUAUAUCUUUUGGAGUAGUUUGUCAUUUACUCAUGUGCUUCACGUAUAUCCUAAGAGUAAAUGGUUGAAUGAAUUGAAUAUCACAAAUAUGAAUUUAUAUAUGUUUCAUAUGCUUAUACCACGGGGAGUAAUGACUUCACACAAAAUAAGUAUAGGUAGUAAACUUAUUUGAAAGUUAGCAAACGCAGAAUUGGUCACUCGAACAAUUCAUGAAAGAAUAUUGAAGGAAGAGAGAUUUCACAUAUAAAUAUACUUUCUUGGACAUCUUUUGUAAUUGUGAGCACUCAUUAAAAUAUGACAUGCUAAAAGGUUGAUGUUGGACAAGGAAGACAACGUAAUGGGUUAUGUUUUCUUAUAUCCGAAAUAAAGUAUAUUGUCAUGGAUCAUCCAACAUGCUGAGCUUGCCUUUCCCCCUCAUGCUAGCCAAAUACUUUGCACCAAGUAGAGAUACUACUUGUGCUUCCGAAUAUCCUUAAACCCGGUUUUGCCAUGAGAGUCCACCAUAUCUACCUCUGGAUUGAGUAAGAUCCUUCAAGUAAGUUGUCAUUGUUGCAUGCAAUAAAAAAUUGCUCUCUAAAUAUGUAUGAUCUAUUAGUGUGGAGAAAAUAAGCUUUAUAUGAUCUUGUGAUAUGGAAGCAAUAAAAGCGACAGACUGCAUAAUAAAGGUCCUUAUCACAAGUGGCAAUAUAAAGUGACGUUCUUUCGCAUUAAGAUUUUGUGCAUCCAACUAUAAAAGCACAUGACAACCUCUGCUUCCCUCUGCGAAUGGCCUAUCUUUUAUUCUUGUCUUAUACCUUAUAAAAGAGUCAUGGUGAUCUUCACCUUUCCUUUUUACAUUUUAUCCUUUGGCAAGCACAUUGUGUUGGAAAGAUCCUGAUAUAUAUAUAUCCAAUUGGAUGUAAGUUAUCAUGAACUAUUAUUGUUGACAUUACCCUUGAGGUAAAAGGUUGGGAGGCAAAACUAUAAGCCACUAUCUUUCUCUGUGUCCGAUUAAAGCUUUGAACCCACAAAUAUCACGUGAGUGUUAGCAAUUGUGAACAAUUAAAUGAUAGUUGAGUAUGUGGAGUUUGCUGAAUCAAAGCUCUUACAUAGACCCUUACCGAAAAUAAGAUGAAUUGCAAUUGUUUGAUGACUAAGAGCACGGUUUGUUAGUUUUCAAGAAAGUUUAUGAUCUAUACUUUAACAUGUGAAUAGCUUGCUACUUGAUCAUGAGAAGUUUUAUGAGUUGAGCUACUGUUAUGAUAUAUAAUGAUGCUAUAAAAAGUGUUUGAAAUUAAAAUUGAUCAAACUUAUGCACUUGAUAGCAUUCACACUUCAUAAAUUAUUUCUUUUAUCAUUUACCUACUCGAGGACGAGCAGGAAUUAAGCUUGGAGAUGCUGAUACGUCUCCAACGUAUCUAUAAUUUAUGAAGUAUUCAUGCCAUGUUUACAAUAGUUUUAUAUGAUUUUGGUAUGAUUUGAUUAGAACUAACCCGGACUAACGUUGUUUUCAGCAGAACUACUGUGGUGUUGAUUUUGUGCAGAAAUAGAAGUUCUCGGAAUGCGCUGAAAAUCAACGGAGAAUUUUUCUUGAAAAAAUAAAAAAUACUGGAACAAAAAUCUACCGGAGGGGAGUCCCGUGGGCCCCAUGAGGGUGGGGGCGCGCCCCGUGCCUCGUGGACUACCCGUGGGGCCCUCUGACUUGUUCUCAACGCCAACCUCUCCUAUAAAUACCCAAACCUCCAGAAAUUAACCUAGAUCAGAAGUUCUGCCACCGCAAGCCUCUGUAGCCACGAGAAAUCAAUCUAGGCCCUCUCUGGCACCCUGCCGGAGGGGGCCAUCAUCACCGGAGGCCAUGGAGGAGGGUCCCGGAGGGGCCAUCAUCGCCAUGAAGGCCAAGGACCAGAGGGAGAACCUCUCCCCAUCUAGGGGGAGGCCAUGGAGGAGGAGGCAUAAGGGGGAGAACCUCUCCUCCUCUCUCUAGGUGGUGCCGGAGUGCCAUCGAGAGGGAAAUCAUCGCCGCGGUGAUCGUCUUCAUCAACAUCACCAUCAUCAUCAACAUCCUCACCUCUUUUACGCGGUCCACUUUCCCGCACCCCGUUGUAAUACCUACUUGAACGUGGUGCUUUAUGCCACAUAUUAUGAUCCAAUGAUGUGUUGCCAUCCUAUGAUGUUUUGAGUAGAUAUCCUUUGUCUUUGGGUUGAUUGAUGAUCUAGAUUGGUAUGAGUUGUAUGUUUUAUUUUGGUGCUGUCCUACCGUGCCCUCCGUGUCGCAAGCGUGAGGGAUUCCCGUUGUAGGGUGUUGCAAUACGUUCAUGAUUCGCUUAUAGUGGGUUGUUUGAGUGACAGAAGCAUAAACCCGAGUAAGGGGGUUGUGGCGUAUGGGAUAAAGGGGACUUGAUGCUUUAAUGCUAUGGUUGGGUUUUACCUUAAUGAUCUUUAGUAGUUGCGGAUGCUUGCUAGAGUUCCAAUCAUAAGUGCAUACGAUCAAAGAAGAUAAAGUAUGUUAGCUUAUGCCUCUCCCUCAUAUGAAAUUGCAAUGACGACUAUCGGUCUUGUUAACAAUUGCCUAGGAUAAUUCCGCACACCGAUCCAUCAUUAUUCCACACUCGCUAUUUAUAAUAUUUAGUAAUAUAUUCUAACUUUAUGAUAAUAGCACCUACUUUUAUAUUUUAGCUCUCCGAUAGCAUGCAAAGUUAUCCUCUUCAUACCCACAACAUAAUUUUAUUUCUCGUUUCUAGUUGGAAGCAAACAUUCGGUGUACGUAGAGUCGUAUCAGUGGCAGAUAGGACUUGAGAGAAUAUUGAUCUUACCUUUAGCUCCUUGUGGGUUCGACACUCCAUACUUAUCACUUCCACCAUUGGGAAUAGCUACAAUGAUUCCCUACACUUGGGGAUUAUCAAUGCUACAUGCGCGCCUCUACUACCACACGUGUGUCCAUGUACUACCACACGUGCCCUUCCUUACACGGCCAUGGUUCAUCGCUGCAGCCUGCAGACAGACCGAUCGACCAGUAUGUACGUACACGUUCGCGACCAGAAUGACAAUGAUACGUACGCUUCGACCAGGUAGGUCCCAACUGUCAGGCACUUCCUUGCGUGCGAAGAUGUAGCUGGUGGGUCCCAGCAGUCAGGGGGCGAAUCAUUUUUUUUGCCCAUAAUAUGGACGCACUUCCUUGCGUGCAAAGAUGUAGCUGAUGGGUCCCAGCAGUCAAGGGGAGAAAACAUUAUUUUUCAGGGUAAAAAGGAUGCAGUUGCAUGCAUGCGUCCAUGGGAGUGGUGCGUCCCCACUGUCAGCCUCUCACGUACAGUCAUCUUCCGAUGACUCUUGGUUGUUGACCACGUUGACCACACCAUGCCGAGCGCACCAAGGCCGGUGGACGACGGCGAGGCCCCAAACUGGAACGACCCGGAGAUGGGGACGAUGCAGCGGUGGAGUCGCAGAUGGAGAGGAGUGGGAAACUUGACUGGUUCGGGUGCACGGGAGCACUGCCGCCCACGGGAGACAGGAGCAAGAACAGAGGUUGAAGAAGGAGCACGGUUGUUGGAUUAACAUCCAACGGUCCAGCUGCUAGAAUCAUAUGUUGAUUAACUUGACAAAGCCAUGCGUACACGUCUGCUUAGUAGGCCCACAAGUCAGCCACCAAAUCUGCCGGGUCCCAGCUGUCAUCGGGAGGAAUGGUUUUUUUCGCAUAACAAGGAGGCACUUCCUUCCGUGCAAAGAUACGGCCGGUGGGUCCCAGCUGUCAUGGGGAGGAAACAGCUUAAUAAGGAGGAACUUUCCUUAGGUGCGACCAUGGACCUCAUGGGUCCCAGCCGUCAGGCUCUCAAAGUACAGUCCUCUUCCGAUGACUCUCGUUUGUUGACCACGCUGCGCCGAGCGCAGCAAGGCGAUGGACGAUGGCGAGGCCCCAGACUGGAAUGACCCGGAGAUGGGGAAGACACGGCAGUGGAGUCGCAGACAGAGAGGAGUGGGAAACUUGACUGGUUCGGGUGCAGGGUGGGCCUACACUCGGCAGAGAAUAACAGGAGGUGCGGAUUGGAGGGAUGGCCUGGCCAUCGGCGGGGUAGUGUUUCGCUGAGGCGCGCAAAACAACGUCGCUGGACACCGGAGGCUGGAGCACGCGGUCCCGGCAGCGCUGGGGGAAAGAAGACGAGAGAUUGAAGAAGAAUGCCGGGCGUUGGAUGUAAAUCCAACGCCUUGUUAGGCUUCGACUUACUGGCCCACAUGUUAGCCAGUCCAUUUGUUUUUUUAGUCCAUUUGGUGGGCUGGGUGAAACAAUGAUGUAGCAUGUAUGCAGCCCGUUUAUAUAUAUGGCAGAAUUUAAAGCCCAUUUGCAUUUUUCUCAAAAUCCGCAGACUUGCUGGCUGGGUGAAAAUAUCAUGUUGGGCUGGACGGAGAAAUGUUAUAAAAACAUAAACACAUGAUUGCGCGUCUAUUACUGCAUUGGUCAGUAAAAUCUUUGCAAGCUUAUGUACGCAAUCACUAGGAGUUAACUUGCCAAGUUAUAUAAAACAAUUAUUAUUAUUAUUUUGUAAGAACUUUCAACUUACAAAAUAAAAUAUCAUUUUGAUUUGAUGAGUUAAUAGGACAUGGGGUAUUAUUAUUUUUUAGGCUAGACGUGGGACAGUUGAGUUGGUUCUGGGGAAAAGUACUGGGAGAAAACUCAGUUUACAUCAAAAAUUAAAGUGGGAGAAAAAUUCAGAUAUAGGAUUAAUGAAAACGAAAAAUAAAGGAAGUGGGAAGGUCUAUAAAAUGGUUGGACAAAUGACAGGUUUAACGGAACCUUAUGUUGUUUCUAUUAUAUGUAUAUAUAUGUAAUAAAAUAAGAUAUAAAUAUAGGUUCAGUUUUGCAUUCUUAUAGAAGACAUAGGUUCAGUUUUGCAUUCUUAUAGGAAAAUAGAACUGAGCUGUGCGUCGUCUUGAAAAAACAAACAUAACUUGGGCUGCUGAUGUUAUAGACAAGAUAGGUUGGGAGGCCCAGAGGCCGCUUGAUACCUGCUGGAUCCAAAAAAUGUUGAAACAUGUCGUGGGUUGCCCAUGUUAAACAACAAAACCUAGGCCAUGGACCUAGUGGGCCCGGGACUGUCAGCCUCUCGACGAACAGUUGUCUCCUGAUUCCUCUUGUUUUGCUGACCAUGUUGGGAACGACAGACGGCGACGCCGCGGCGAGAGCACCAAGACGGAGGAUGACGUCGAGACCUCGGACGGAACGAACCGGAGCGGGGGAAGACACAGGUGGAGGAGAGUACAAGGGUUGACUUGUUCGGGUGUAGGGUGGGCAGGUGGAGCUGCCGCCGCCAGACAAUGUGUGGGAGUAGAGGGAUGGCCACAUGGCCAGCCGCUGUAUAGGAAGAGGACGAAAGAUUGAACAAAAUAAAGAACUACAAAUGGAUAGGUGGUUGGUCCCGUAUGUCUGUGUACGAGACCUGCUAGGUCCACCUGAGAAGGGGAAUAUGUUGCCAGGAAGGAGAUUCAAAGCACGGCAGCCGAGUGAACUAGUUUUUUUUAAAACGGACAAGUGAACUAGUUACAUACAUAAGCUAAUAGCCACUAAAAAAGCAAACAAGUUAAUGCGUUCUUAAAAGAAAUAUUUCGGACAAAACAGAUAAUUACGACACAUAGGCUAAUGCAUGAAACACUCAGAUGAUAAAGGUGCUUAUAAACAGAUAAAGUACAACAUCUAGACCUUCCUGGCACGCUUGAUCAUGACACUGCGGCUGUCCGUGUACUCGUCAGUUACGGGAAGCAGACAUGGUUAGCUAACAAAAUGUUAAUGCAUGUCAACAAAAAUUAUAUUGUUGGAUUCGUAUUUCAACUAGUUAUCAAUGAUAUAAUUUUUGGUAACAUGCAUAAACGUUUUCUUAGUUCAGUCUAUAGUCAAAAUUUGACACAAUAUACAAUGGGGACCAAUAAACUAGGACGGAGGUAGUAGUAGUAGUAUUGUUCACUUGUGCUCCCCGGCCCUCCAUUCAUUGACCAACCCCACGGGUGAAUAAACAUAUAGUACUAAGUAUUUAUAUAGAACGAACAAGCUCGAACUAUUUUCGCGUAGUUAAAAGUUGAGGGCGGGGCUUUUACCGGGCAGUACGCGCGGCACUUUUCGCGUAGGCGGUUUGACAGAGAGGCGAGGAGGGUGAGGGAGUAGCGGAUUCAACUUACUUACUGCUGGAAAGGUCGGGCUGUCCGAUUUGACGGCGCGUUACUGCUGGAAAGACUUGUGAUAUGACUACUCACUAUAGUCAUGAAUUACUGGCGGUACGACCGGGGUGAUUCCCCCCUUCCGUUCCGCACUCUAAUCUGGUGCAUGACACGUCGACCGGGAUGCUGGCUCUCCCACAUGUCGGCGAAGUACGUAGGAGGAGUGCGAACCACAGCACAGGAGUGCAAACCACGGUAGCCCCAGUGAAUCAGCAGUAGAAAACAAUGUGCUGAUAUGGCCAUAAAAAACAAUGUGCUACGGUCCAGACUGUAGCAUGUACAGUACUACUCCUCUUUGUUUGGAUCCCUGAGUUAGAGCUAGUUUGGGUUGAAAUAGCCUCAAAUUAUCCAAACAGGAGGGUUAGUUUGAGCUAGUUUGCUCUAACCCAGCUAAAAAACUAGGGACUAGGGACUUUUUAGUUGGGGCUAGAAAAAGUCCUAGGACUUAUGAACCAAACAGGGCCUCAAGCACCUAUGGAGGCGACUGCCGCUCGCGUCUAUCAUGUGUCAGGAGACGUCCCCGUCGACGACGAGGUGCCUAUGGUGCCUAUUGUGCACCACGACCAAUGCGGAGAGGAAAACGAGAGAACUACGUAUUUUAUUUACGGUGUAGAUUCACUCAUUUUGCUCCAUAUGUACUCCGUCUCAGUGUAGUCUAGUCACUUGUUGAAAUAUCUAGAAAGGCAAAUACUCCUUUCUGGUUUACAGGGCUAUACUAGCAAGUAAUAGUGGGCUCACAUAGCAAUGUUGUCUCAUGCAAGAGCCUGGCUAUAUGCGUGCUCCAAGGUUCGAAACUGCCACGUUCAGGUUGCGCUUGGCUCUUCGCCUCUUCAAGAAGACGAACAAUGAUGUUACUACUAUUGCUUCUUCAGUAUCGAAUCCACUGCUUCAUGUUCGUCCACCGCGAGCGGGAGGGAUAGCUUGUUGUAGUACUACUAUAAGCAAAAGCCUAUCCUCGGCUGCGAGCCACCGCGCGCAUGGGCGAGGGAGAAGGCAUGUAGUAGUAAAAUCAAGCUUCUCCUCGUUGUAUGAGUUGACGCAACACAUCAUAGCACUGGCCCCACAUGGUUGCCUCUAAACUUGGCUGAAAGACCCGCAGUGUACAAUACUCCAUUUGCUGCAACCUCUAACAUUUACCCCACCACAAAUUAAAAUAUAUAUUCCUGUCUUGACCAGAUGAGCGUGCAAACUAGAAUCACCAGGACGACAGGUAGGGCCGGAAGAUUAUUUUAAUCGAAAAAAGCAUGGAGCCGACCCCAACGAUUUUAAGCUUACAGGCACGGUACACGCUAUCCUAGACUACUCUACACAUGAAACUGCCACACGAGUGUCCGGGCUGCGCUUGGCUCUUCACCUCUUCGGGGAGUCGAACAAUGAUGGAGUACUACUGCAGUGGAGGAGUACUACAGUAUGCUUCUGGCCAUCUGACACCGAUUCAACUACUGCAUGUCCACCGCGUGCGGGAGGGAGAGUGUGUAGCAAACGAAAGCUUCUCCUAGUCCUGCCAGCCACCACGCUCAUGGGCGAGGGAGGGACGCAGCUUCAUUGACUUACUGCUCCUGCCUUUGCGUCUAUGACAGGUGGGCCCAACAGGUCGGUGGCCCACCUGUCAUGCAGCCAAAGGCAGGUGGGGUUAAGGCGAGAGGGCCUUGUAGUAAUCAAACUUCUCGGUCUUGUACGAGUUGACGCGACACAUCAAAGCACUGCACUCGAUAUAUUUCAAUAAUUUGCGUUUAUCGAUGCAUUAGUUACAACGCAUGCAUGCAUGUCGUGACUCUCCUUUUGAUACUUGCAUGUGUUGAUUUAAUGCACCUUGAAGUAGUAUGAAUAUGUGACGGUAAAACUUUGUAAUGCCCCGGCCCUAAUAAAGCGAGAGAUGGUUGUGCACGAGGAGGGCGGAAUUCCGAGGAGGGCGAGAUCAUGCAGAUGGAACAGGACCCGACGAUGGAGCUCUCCAUGGUCUCGAUGGACCUCACCUUGCUUCACUGCCCCUUGAAGCCUCCAGUGUAUGAGGUUCGAAUACACCUCCUCCGUUCGACUGAUCGAGCAAGGUGCAGGUUUCUUGAUUGAUGUGUUGUUCGAUUGAUUUGUGCAGUGCAAGGGAGGGCACCUGGCCUGCGCGGACUGCCGCGUCGAGCGCCCCGGGAACCAGUGUCAGUGCCAGAAGUGCGAGCGCGGUGGUGGCUUCGACGUGCGGAACACGGCGGUGGACGCCGUCCUCUCCUCUGUGAGGGUGGAGUGUCCGCACAAAGGCUGUGGGCUCUAUGUCACUUACCACAAGCUCGCCGAUCACCAGAGCGUGUGUCCGCUCGCUCCCUACAAAUGCCCCGUGCCGUCUGCGGCUACGAAGGCCCGCCACCGGAUCAGCACCGUGCAUCCCAUGCCCGUGCACAGGAUCCAGUACAGCAAGGUGCUCCAGCUGCAAGUGCCACUGUCGGAGCCACGACUCUUGCUGAUCGCGGAGGAGGACCGCUGCGCGUUUUUCUUGGUCGGCAGCGUGCUCGACAUCGGCGUGCCUAUCGCCCUGUCGGUCGUCUACGUCAGAGCGGGGUCGUCCCCACUUCCGCACUAUGUAGCCAAGCUAUGGGCGAACGGCCCGCCGGGGGAGCCCAAAGGCAGGACCGACGCCGUCAAGGUGGAAAUGGAGGUGACAAGCAGCAAGGAUCCCGGCGACGUCGCGGUGCACGACCUGACCUUCUUCACAGUUCCGCCCAAGCUGUUGGCUGGGGCUAAGUUGGUGCAACUCCACAUUCAUAUUGACAAGCUCACAUCCUAAAUGAUUCUACAGUGCCUUUUGUUUAUCUUAGUAAUAUGCUAAUAGAGGGGUUAGCUCGGUCAACUUUAUCUUAAGAGAUGGUGGGCUUUGGUGGCGAUGCAGCAAUUACUUCGACAUCAGAUCAGCAGUUAAAGUAAUUUCAAAUAGUCGAACGGAUAUUUUGUGUCUGUUGGAUAUAAAGAUCCUUUGGGUAAGAAGUAUAACUGCUUAUAAGAAGUAAGUAUAACAGUUUAUAUGCUUGUUUGUUCAGAAAGUGUUGCAUACUUGUGCGAGUUGACGCAACACAUCAAAGUAGUACUACUAGUAGUACUCCCUCCGAUCCUAAUUUCUCUGCGCAUGAGGUUGGUCAUAGUGGGAGUAACAUAGGUAGUAACAUAGAUGCCACAUAAGCAAAAAUGAUGAGGUGGCAAGUAAUUAAUGAGGAGAGAGGCAAAUAGAGUAACAUAAAGGCUGGUCAUAGUGGGGAGUAACUUAGACUGGUAGUGUUAUGCAUAUGACACUAGUCUAAGUUAUUACCUUCAUAAUGCAAAGUAACAUAAUAGUAGUAUCAUAGAUGGCUUCAUUUAUCUUGUCUUGGAAAGCGCUAUGUUAUAGUACAACAUAUUAUGUUACUACCUCUUAUUAAUUACUUGCCACAUAAGUAGAAUUUUCUCGAAGUGCACUAUGUUACUACUCCCUCUGUCUAGGUGUAUAAGUCAUCUUAGGUUGUGCCCCACGACCAAGGCGGAGGGAAAACGAGAGAACUUAAUGUCUUUUUGCUAAUUAUAAUAGCAUUGCAUGGAACUAACCACUACAUGUCAUGUUUGUUAGUCUCAAAUCAUUAAAAGCAUGCACGGCCCACAUCUCUUAUUGGUUGAUACGUCAUGAAACAAGAAACGAGAAGGGAGUCAACUACCGUGCCUAGUUUUGGGUUUAUUUCGUUUUUGUAAGGUGACUUGCAUACCUAGACGGAGGGAGUAGUUAAGUUACUUCCACUAUGACUAGCCUAAUAUGUUACCAUCACAUAGCGCUUUCCAGUGCAAAAUGAGUCCACAAAGUAAUAAAUGAAGACAUGUAGUACUAUGUUAUCUAUAUGACACUACCCACUAUGAAGGUACUAGUAACAUAGACUAGUAACUAGUCUAUGUUACUCUCCACUAUGACCAGCCAAAGUCGAGGCACGGAGACCAACGAGGGCCUGGUUGUUUCUAUACUUGGACAACUCACCAGACUGCAUGCGCACCAGGCAGACGAAGCUCGUGUCGUGUUGGUGCCGUGUGCGGCCCGCACAUUAACCAAAACCUCGCGCCUCCAUCUUAGCCUCCGUGUUUUAAACUUCUCAAUCUCAAGGCCAUGGAGCAACGUGAAACCUAUGAUAGAGCCAAUCGGAUGGUUGAGAACACUACAAUUCGUAGCUACAGAUGCGUGUGUGCGAGAGGACGAGUGCGUGCAUGCACCUCUGCUCAAAGUACAAGUGUAUGUGGGUGGCAUCGACCUAGGGAGCAGUGAUGGUGCGUGCGAGAAGUCCUGAGAGAUAGGUGUAAUGCGUCUGAAAAAAGACUAGUCUAUAGCUCACCACGAGGCUAUUCCUGUCGAACGCCAAGCGUAAGAUAUGUAUCCGACGGUGCCAGUUUUUGCAAGUACACAGUAGUAGAAAAAGAACUAGUACCAUGGCAUAUGCUACACCACGGCCGAGAACACGUGCCAACGUUAUGUCAUCCGGGAAUAGUGCCGCACUUCGAAACUAGAACCGUCAAUAAAUUUUGAGCGCGUCUCGUCACAUUCCAAAUUACUACUACUACCAUGCUAUAUUUAAUUGCAAACCUUUUCACACCGAUCACAACCUAAACAGUUUCCCACUUAGGAGCGUAUUAGUAGUACUCGGUUAUAAAUACUACUAAGCCAAGAUGACUGCACAUUCCUCCUCAACUCCUCAUCCACAAAAAACAAUCAAGUCAAUCAAGCCAUGGCCAGCGUGAAUUCUAGGUCGAGAGAUUUCCACCAGGGAGAGGCGAGCAUGGAAGAGGAAGCACGAGAGAUAUCCCGCCUUGCCGCGAAAGCAACCGACAUGUCCAGCUGCGCAGCAGUAGCAGCACAGAGGUCCCGCCGCGCCAUCGAUGUAGCAGACUGGUCCGGCCAUGCCGCGGAAGCAGCAGAGAUGUCCCGCCAUGCCUCCGAAGCAGCACGGAGGUUUCGCCGCACCGCGGCGGCCUGGGAAAAUUUCCCGCGGGCAGGCGAGGACUCUUACAAUCGCAUGCAUGCGAUGGUCCAUAGCCAGAUGGAUCAGAUCUCCGGCUGGGCGAGGUUGCAGGACGAGGCUACCAGCAUCAUCCGGCAACUAGGGGAGGGCAAUGCGAAGCUCCGGGGCGAGCGCGACCUGCUGAGGGCAAAGAUCGCUGGAAGGUCCAAGCAGGAGGAGGAGACCACUGCCUUGUUGCAGAGGACAGGCGUCAUCGUCAAGAAACUUAUGGACGAGAGAAUGCCAUGCUCCACAUCAAGCACAACUGGCUGGUGGAGGAAUCCAUGGAUGCUGCCAAGCAGCUUAUUAAGGACAUGAAACUGAUGAAAGAGAUCAUCGCCCGCCACGAGAACUAGUGUCUGCGUCCUGCUGCACAUAAAGAAAGUAGAUAUCAGCGAGCCAGAGCGUUGUAUGCAUCUUCCUUCUUCUUUUGCCCUUGUGUAUUUCGGGCAUAGCCGCAUGUGGCUUUUUUAAUUAUCUUCCUGAUUAUGUAAGACAAUUAUUAUCCACUCUCGUCGUCCUUAUAUAUAUUCAUCAGUCUUGCUAUAAGUCGCAGUAGAUGCUACAUAGGUCCGUCGGAUCUUACAUCAAGAUCCGUGCAAAAUUUUCUUUUCAGAUUUUCUUUUUUCUCUCUUAAAUCUCAGUCGAGUGAGACAUUGCCACGCCAUUAAACAGAGGCUCGGGCGCAAUUAAUGGAGACCUUGGGAGAGAGGUGGACGGCAGAUGGAGGUCAAAGGGCUCUCCUCCCGAUAAGCACGCGCAGGGGUCUGAUCGCACGCCUCCCGUACUCAAAUAGCUACCCUGCACAGUGCCUCCUAGCUAAUAAAAAAAGGGGACGUGUGGCGGCACGUAAAUGGUAAAUAGAACGCCCACGGUUUCAAUAAUACUUGUGUUUCCGAUUGUAACGUGACAGCACUUGUUCCAAAAUGACUUUGUUGAUUGUUAAUGUGUGCGCCUUCCCAAAUCGGACAACAAAAUUACCACAGCAUGUUGGUGCCAUGUCAUGACACCAAGCCAAGUUUCAUGAUUUUCAUGCGUCUUUCGGAUUUACAGGAAUUAAAAAACCAAGUUUCUCAAUGUUUCCAGCCGAGCCAUGACGCCCAGAUGUUUGAAUUUCAUUCCCAUUUCUGGCAUGGGACCUAGAAAUUUACCCGAGGACACACAUGUGAUUUUUUAACCAGCUUUGGUGCACUGGAGCAUGUGCUUGUAUUUCAAAUUUGAAUUAUGCACACAAAGGUGACACGUCCCUUCUCAGAACCACGAGCCUUCUUGAGAGAAGCUCCGGUUUGCAAGAAACUUAUACCAAAACUUGUUCCUAUUCUGCCAAUUUUUUACCACAGCAUGGUAGUACCAUGACAUGACACCAUGCCAAGUUUCAUGAUUUUCAGGCGUGUUUUGGAUUUACAAGAAUUUUAAAACCAAGCUUCUCAAUGUUCUCGGCCGAGCCACGAUGCCCAGAUGUUUGAAUUUCAUUCCCAUUUCUUGCAUGGGACCUAGAAAUUCACCCAAGGACACACAUGUGAUUUUUCAAUCAACUUUGGUGCACGGGAGCAUGUGCUUGUAGUUCAAAUUUGAAUUAUGCACAUUAAAUCACCAGAAACUCAAUUAAUGUAUAAAAAGGCCAAACAAACCCGGAAUAAUUCCAAAAUUUAACAGGGCACUCAUGUAGUUCUAUGUUGCCUCUGUAAAUAAACUCAAGGGGGGCAGCGUAUAUUGUUUCACACUCAAAGGUGACACGUUCCCUCUCAGAACCACGAGCCUUCUUGGAGAAGCUCUGGUUUGCAAGAAGCUUAUACCAAAACUUGUUCCUAUUCGGCCAUUUUUACCAGGGCAUGGUAGUACCAUGACAUGACACCAUGCCAAGUUUCAUGAUUUUCAGGCGUGUUUUGGAUUUACAAGAAUUUUAAAACCAAGUUUCUCAAUGUUCUCAGCCGAGCCACGACGCCCAGAUGUUUGAAUUUCAUUCCCAUUUCUUGCAUGGGACUUAGAAAUUCACCCGAGGACACACAUGUGAUUUUUCAACCAACUUUGGUGCACUGGAGCAUGUGUUUGUAGUUCAAAUUUGAAUUAUGCAUAUUUUAAAUGACCAGAAACUCAAUUAAUGUAUAAAAAAGGCCAAACGAACCCGGAAUAAUUCCAAAAUUUAACAGGGCACUCAUGUAGUUCUAUGUUGCCUCUGUAAAGAAACUCAAGGGGGGCAGCGUAUAUCGUUUCACACUCAAAGGUGACACGUUCCCUCUCAGAACCACGAGCCUUCUUGAGAGAAGCUCCGGUUUGCAAGAAGCUUAUACCAAAUCUUGUUCCAAAUCGGCCCAAUUUUUUACCACAGCAUGUUAGUGCCAUGACAUGACACCAUGCCAAGUUUCAUGAUUUCCAAGCAAGUUUUGGAUUUACAUGAAUUUCAAAACCAAGUUUCUCGAUGUUCUUGGCCGAGUCACGAUGCCUAGAUGUUUGAAUUUCAUUCCCAUUUCUUGCAUGGGACCUAGAAAUUCACCCAAGGACACACAUGUGAUUAUCAACCAACUUUGGUGCGCCAGAACAUGUGCUUGCAGUUCAAAUUUGGAUUAUGCACAUUAAAUGUCCAGAAACUCAAUUAAUGUAUAAAAAGGCCAAACGAACCCAGAAUAAUUCCAAAAUUUAACAGGGCACUCAUAUAGUUCUAUGUUGCCUCUGUAAAGAAAAUCUGGGGGGAGGCAGCAUAUAUUGUUUCGCACACAAAGGUGACACGUUCCCUCUCAGAACCAUGAGGCUUGUUGAGAGAAUCUCCGGUUUUGCAAGAAGCUUAUACCAAAACUUGUCCCAAUUCAGCCAAGAAUUAUAUACAUAUGAAAACAGGGUUUAGAUUAUCCCGAACAUCUCGCCACCUAGACCAAUGUACUCUGAUUUGAAUUCAAUAUAAAAUGGAUACAAAUAUUUGAAUCGGAGAUCGUAUGUUACAUGUAGUGUAUAGUGAAAUAUGAUUACUGCUAUAUGCAUGUUUUUUUGUUAUCAAGAUAAUAUUUAAAUGAUUGUAUAACUUGACAACAAUCGUAUUCAAAUAAGGAAAAAUGAUUCAAAUUUAGUCAAUAUGGUAGAUGAUGGUAUAUAUGUUCAUAGGGUGGAGUAAAAUGUUCAUAUAUGAUGGAAGAUCAAAAUGUAGGACUACAUUCAUUAUAAACCGCAAGGUCACCUAACGAUAUAUUCGAAUUCAACAUAACGUGGAUUCAAAAAUUGAAAUACGAGAUCCUGGCAUUUGUAAUCAUAUAAAAAGGGACAUGACUCUUUCUUUUGGUGGGAAUUGAUUUGUUUUUUGUUGUUGUUGAGGGAAGUGCGAAUCGAUUUGGUACUGUACAGGGUAGUCUUGUUCUCCCGAUUUUUUUACAUUUUUCUUGUAGUUUUUUCAAUGACAUUUAUAGCAAUAUAGUAAAAGGGACAUGACUCUCGUGUGUCUUGUAUGAAUUGUUUUUUGUACACGUUAAGUUUGUUCUGCCGAACAAGGAAUCCGCGCCUUGUUAUCCCGAAAUUUCAAGCUCGAGUAUCUUUUGUCUCAUCUGCUUUGAAACUCCCGCCUCUUCAACCCGCGCCGCACCUUGUUAUCCCGAAAUAUCGACGCGCGCGAAAACUCCCUCCUCAUUCGAAAUCGGUCACGCAGCCCAGACACGUGAAAUCCCCCUUCUACCCCUCAGCCGGAAAUGUCAGCUCGACAUCGCGGUGUCAAAACCGGUGGGGGUACGCUCGUAACUUACCCUACAUUUCGGACAAGCGCGUCCCUAAGCCAUGGCUCCCCUACCUUCCCCUUCGUCCCACCCAUUCGUACACCGAGGCCGCCAAAACCCACGAAACCCCACGCUCCUCGGUCGGCCUGCCGACCCCCGCCCAGGCAGAGACUCUUCCCCGACGACGUCGUCCACCGCAACAGCUCGCCGUCCCUCAUCCACCGUAUCGGAUGAGGAUCCGUCGUUAAUCUCGUCGUCCCGCCGGAUCAGCCGCCCCGUCCUCCACCUCCAAGGAGUUGCCCCGAUGUUUGCCUCGUCUAUCGCGCCACCUCCAUCCCCACAGCACCGUCUUGACCUGCCCCACCGGAACCGCAGCACCCUCACCAAUUCCUCCGAUGAAGUCGAGGCCAACUCGGCGCCACCAAGGAGGUUCUGCACUCACCGCUGCAUUUUAUCUUUUAUUCAAUCUCACAGGGCUGCCGGUGCUCCAUACCGAGCAGCCAUGGCGGGUCUCCAUCGACGGUGCCGUAGCCGGCCACUUCAUCCACGGCGUCUCUCCCCCAUGUCGUUGCUUCCUCGGCGGCCACUUCGUGUUGUUGCUCUGCUCUGCUAUUGCUGUCGGUCGCGCUGCUGCUCCGCUCUUGCUCUCGUUCGUGGUGCUGCUCUGCUCUUGCUCUCGCUCACGCUGCUGCUGCUGCUGCACGACCUUUGGUAGCUACAGGAGUUGCUGCUUUAGCACUCGGUCGCGGUUCUGCUACACGACUUGUUGUCUGCUAGUGCGUUCCCUGCUCAAGCGUCUGCUGAUUUAGAUCACUGCUUCUCUGCUACUAGUGCUCGAACGCCCUAAACAUCUAUUGCAAUGCUCUUCUACUAGUUCAAUCAGUUUCGACUGUAAAGUUCAGUUAAGUUCAGAGUAAACAGUAUUUACAGCAUCUGUCGGAGCGGCCGUGGCGCGGCUAAUGCGUUUUACAUCUAGCACUUUUUGGUGAUGUAUUUUACAUCAUCUAUUGCAGAUGAUAUUAGAGUCCCACUUCAGAUUAACGUUGUCUGUCUUGUCCUGCUUCAGCCUCGACGCCGUACACCUCACUGGAGCUGCUCCAACAACGGAACCGUCCAUCACAGUGGAGCAGUACCCUCGGCGCCGUUUCCAGAGGCCUCGGAUCUUCUUCCUCGCCUCUGACAGUCACACCAGCAUCACCACCCUCCAUGUCCAACCCAAUGAUGUUGAGGUCGACAAGGCUAUGCCAAAGAGGUUGUACACUUGUUGCAUCACUUUGUUACUGUGCAUUCAUGUCAAUCCCUCAGGGAUCCUUUGCUAUGGAACUACUAUGGUACUACUAUUCGUGCAUUUGGUUAGGAGUGGAGCAAAGCAAAACUGGAAGAUUUUUUUCCUUUGGUGUCUCUUUCAAAGAAAAAUGGUAGGAAUUUUAAUAUCCAGGUGGACGUCCUUUUCAAAUUAAUAUGCAUGAAGAACAGGACUAAUUGCAUUACUGGCAUAAUAAGAUUCUUAUUUUUUUCAUUUUCACGUGGUUUGACUUUAAUUUGACCACGUUUCUCCAUUCCUGUGUUCUUCCAAUUCAUGUGAACCAAACACCGAGGUUCACAGAAAUCCUAUGUUUCCAAAUGCUCUGUUUUGCACGUGCAUUCCUAUCCUAUUCUUGUGUUUUCCUGUCCCUGUGUUUAUAGAUUCCUCCAAUUCUAAGGAGCCCUUAUAGAUUUACUUCAUUUUCAGAUAGGUGUCAAAGAAAACUCUGUGUGUUAUGUCCUGCUCCUACCGUGCCGUCAUCCACCCCACCUGAGGUGCACCCUCGACAGAAGCGUUCACUGCAACAGAGAUUCCCCCUGCAAACUUUCUUUCGCCGCCUCAGAUCAUCUUCCCCGUUGUCGGCAGCCACGCCAACUGCAUUACCAUCAUCGACUAAGCAGAUGAACCUGAGAACUACACAGUUCCGUAAGAGAGGUCACAGUCUUUCGUGUUUGCUUACGUUAUACAUCGGUUAUUAUUACCUGCUACUUUAUCGUUCAAAUUUGAGUUUUAAAAUGCCCGUGGGUCUCAUAUCGAGGCAGCAACGAAUAGUAUCUGUCUACUAUCUUGUUCAUCGGGGGUCUUCUAUGUGCUUCAUGUUGGGUGGGCAACAAACAGUAGGUGAUCCAUUGUCUAUCUUUUUAAACUGAGGCUAUAAUCUACCUGCUAUCAUUAGUUUUGGAUCGAUCCACUCGUUUUCUACCAUCAAUCUUGAUUUCUGCAUGCACCCCUUAGGCCUUACAAAAUCUAACUAAUUUUUUAUUAUGCAUGUCAGUUAUUGUACACAAUCAUACUGAACAUGUAGAGAAAAAGAGAAGACCAUUGCAUGGGAAUGCAAUGUCAUGCAGAUGCCGCUCCAUGGUGGGCGAAGUGCCCCCCCUCCCGCCAUUCCAGAUUGUAUUCCAGAGGAAGAUAACUGUUCAGAUGGGGAUUCAGAGGGAGCCGACCACUCCUAUUUACCACCUGAGGUGUUUGCUCUACCUGGCAUGCUGAUGUUGGUCAUAUCAUGCAUAUGGCGCCUUGCAUUGCUUACAUUAUUCAUCUUAUAUGUCAUCAGCUUAGUUUAGAUUUGCUUUGUGUGAAUGCCACCUAUUUGGUUUCUAUAUCAUACUUCCACCAUUCCUAAAUAUUUUUCUUUUUAGAGAUUUCAACAAGUGACUACAUACGGAGCAAAAUGAGUGAAUCUACACUCUAAAAUAUGUCUAUAUACGUCUGUAUGUAGUAGUCCAUAUGAAAUCUCUAAAAAUACAAAUAUUUAGGAACGGAGGGAGUUUAUGGGAAUUAUGCAAUGCCAUGUUUUUCAGCCAGUUAUCAUAUAUGUGAAUUAUGCACCGCCAUGUAGCCAGGCAUCAUAUAUGUGAAUUAUCUCAUGCCAUCUUUUUUUCAUUACGUAUUCCAUUUGUCGACAAUCUGUGUAUAUUAAACUACUCUUCAUGUGUAUCAGCCAUUUGAGCCGGUUAUGGAAAAAUCAGGAGUGAAAACAAGGUCUUCAGAGCAGGCAAUGGUACCUGUUGAAGCAUAUAUCUCGAUGGUUACAGGGAGCUCAUCAGAGGAGGAUUCAGAGACAGAUGACCAGUCCUAUAUCCCACCCGAGGUGUAUGCUCUAAGUUGCAAUGUUUAUAUUUCUCAUAUCAUGCAUAUGGUGUCUUGCAUUGCUUAGUUUAGACAUCAUAUGCACAAUAUUAAAUUCCAUCUACUUAGUUUAGAGAUCAUACAUGCGAGUGCCAGCUGCUUAGUAUAUGAAUCAAUUAUGUCAAUUAUAUCAUGCCAUCCUGUAUACUUAGACAACAUUUAUGUGAAUUAUUUCAUCCCAACCUAUUUUAGAAAGACAUCAUAUAGUUUUGUCAUGUCAUCCUAUUUAGAUACUCAUCAUAUGUUGAAUUAUGCCAUUAUCCUGUUAAGUUAUCCAUCAUAUAUCUGAAACUGUGUCAUGCUAUCCUGUUUAGUUAGGCAUCAUAUAUGUGAAAUUGUGUCAUGUUGUCCUGUUUGCUUAGACAACAUACAUGUGAAUUACCACAUCUGUCUAUCAUACAAUGUUUGUACGUUCAAUUUCUUUUCUUGUUUACCAGCCAUUUGAAUUGGAGGGGUGAUGGCAGUAUCUAAGGGAGCAAAAACCCGUUCUUCACAAAAGACAGUGCUACCCGUUGAUGCAGAUAGAACCAUGGUUGUACUGGCCCACAAACUUGCCCCACCACACAUAAUCGAGACUCUUCUAGAUUGCACACUUAGACCGUUGGGCAGAGAACCAGCUACAACCCAUCUAACCCCAACCCCAGUGGAUAGUAACCCACUUCUAGUUGACAAAGCACCAUGUCCACCACAGAGUACCCCCACACGAGCAGUUUGUAAAGCAACUGCAGUGCCCAAAGCACGAAGACCACCACGGCGAACCCAAACUCCACAUUUAAAGCAGAAGAGCAACUGUUCUCAGGUCAGAUUCCGUAGCUAUGGUCCAUACUCCUUUGCUGUUGCAUCACUGUAUUUACUCAUACCAACUACUUUCGAAUUUGAAGGAUCCAAUUGAAACUCCAAUGGCGCAACAGGUAUGUUUUAAACCUAUUUCUUUAACUGGAUUGCUGUUCUAACUUGUUGCUCUAUGUUGAUUUCAGUUUAAGUUGUAUAAACAGUUAUGUUCUCAUGUGAUGCACAUUACAAGUGCUGCCAAUGCUGCGUAGUUUCUCACACUUAUAUUCUGUCUAUGCUGCUGUGUCUUCAAAAUAUAUGAGUUGAACUGUGUCUCUAUCUUGAUUCGGCAACAUAAACUAGAAUGAUAUGGACAAUACAGUGACCAUAGUACAUAGAUAUAUGUUUGUUUCAUGCUGUUAUCCUGUCCACCUUACUACUGAACCGGUUUACCAAAAUGAGUUUGGUAUACUACAUGCUAAACCUGUGAUGUGUCUGCUUGUUUCUCUUGUAGUAUGCGAACAGAAUAUUGGAGAAGAGCACCGCACUAUGCAAUGGUAGAGAAAGUAAUGCAGAUAAGGUUCAAGAUAGUGAGACAACCCUGUUGGUCUCCAAGAAAGGUGAUAAAAACGAUCUUGUAGACAGUGAGAAAACCCCACAGUCCUGCGUUGAUGUAGUGUUCGAGUUACUGGCCAGUACCGCUGGCACAAGCUCUUCGACCUUGCUGCCUGAAUCACUUUGACUUCUUCAGUCUCAGCUACAAGCUAAAAGGCAUCAGUCAGCUAUGCUGCGGCAAGAAGCCGAAGGACUAAGGAAGUCCCUGCAGAAUUCAGAUGCAUACUUUCUUGUGCAACAGCAAGCGCUGGAGGAUUUAAGCGCCAAACAAGAGAAAAUUAAUAAGCUUGCUAAGCAUCUUGCCAGCAUUAUGGGUACCCAGGAUAUUGUUUCUUGAGCUCUUCUGAAGUGGUUUCAAUUCUGGACUUGUUUUGCUGCGGCGUUUAUUUGCACUGGUCGCCAACUUUGACGACCAGUGUAUGUGAUAUGCUGCUUUGUUCCCUAUAUUUGCACUGGUAGCGAACUUUGAUGCCCAGUGGAUGUAAUAUGUGUAAUAGUCGUGAUAGCCUAGCGUAAGUUGCUUGCUUAUUUAGUUCCUUGUUGUCUUGUUUAUUUGUUUGCUUGUAGUCAGUGCAGUUCUUUUUUCGCGGUUUGCUAGUGGCCGCAAUAACCUAUUUUUUAAAACUAGGCCACAAUAACCAUGGGCUACAUAUUUACUGUAGUUACCAUGGGCCUCCUACGAGCCGUAAAAACAAUGGGCCUUCUACGGGCCAUAGAAAUGAUGGGCCUUCUACGGGCCGUAGCAUCAAUGGGCCUUCUACAUGCCGUAUGAUCGGUAGGCCAAACAUGGGCCAAUAACAUACCGCAUUAUGGGUCAUAAAUGGGCUAGAUUUGGAAUCGUCCGUUCAUGGGCCGACAAUAACAGGCCGUCGUUAAUCGGCCGUAUUGGACGACGCUAUGAAAACGGCCCAAGGGAUUAACGGGCUGCAAACGGGCCGAUUGUAAUCGCGGGCUGAAUUUGGCCCACAAGCAAAAAAGGCCAAUAACGGGUCGUAAGUAACCGAAUGCUGGAAAUGAGCCCAAGAAUAAAUGGGCCCUGAGAAGGCCGAAAGAUAACACGGGUUGGAAACGGCCCAAAUGAAUAACAUGCCAUUAAUGGGUAUAAAGGGGUACACUGUUCAUUGCGGGCCGGAUUCACCAUGGGCCGUUAAUGGGCCAAGAGUUACAAAUGGCCUCGUAUGGGCCGAAAGACAUCAUGGGCCAUACAUGGGCCAGAAGUUACAACGGGCUGGAAUCAUAUUGGACGGCCCAGAUGAAGCUACUGGGCUUAAUUCCGAUAGGCCAUAACGGGCCGUGAGUUAGCGGGCCGUAAAUGGGCUAUAUAGGAACAGGCUUUCCGUGGGCCGGCCGUUACCUUUUGACCAAGUCAAACGGGCCAGCCUUUUCACCGGAAUGGGCCUCUGUUGGGCCGUGCCACGUGUCGACGUAUCAUAGGGCCUCAUGUCCAAUGAAUGGAUGACAUCUGUCCCAACGGUGAGCCAAAACGUGUUUCCUCCGGCCAAUGAGAAUUUUACACGUGGAAAAUUCCCAUUGGUCUGGGCUGUUAAUGGGUUAUCGGAUCCAAAACCGGACUCGAUAGCUUAACAGCAUCCUGUUACGGUGGAUGCCACGUGUCGGUCACCCUUGACGAAAGAAAUUCUAUGACGUGCGAUUUAUCGUCAUCGAAGUGGACACUUCCGUGAUGAUAAUUUUCGUAAUGUCAUGGAACACUUCUACGACAACACAGGUAUGACUAUCUUGAUUCUGUCAUAAAUUUGUCAUGGAUGUACAUGCAUGACAGAAAACGUGACCUACUGUGACAAACACGUAUCAUCACGGAAGUGUCUUUUUUUGUAGUGUUCUCAUAGUAUUUAAUGCACUCUAUAUGAAAGUUUUUAUUAUACCCAUCUUGGGUGCCUACCAUAUUAGGACUAAUUUUAUAGCCAAAGAAAAUUACCAUGCAGUUCUAAAAGACUCUCAAAAUAAUAUAAGUGAAGCAUGAGAGAUCAAUAAUUUCUAUAAAAUAAAACCACCACCGUGCUCUAAAAAGAUAUAAGUGAAGCACUAGAGCAAAAUUUAUCUAGCUCAUGUGUGUCUCUCCCAAAAGGUGUGUACUAAAAAGCAAAGACUCAAAUCAUACAAGACGCUCCAAGCAAAACACAUAUCAUGUGGUGAAUAAAAAUAUAGCCUCAAGUGAAGUUACCGAUAGACGAAGACGAAAGAGGGGAUGCCUUCCGGGGCAUCCCCAAGCUUAGGAUUUUGGUUGUCCUUUAAUUUUACCUUGGGUUGCCUUGGGCAUCCACAAGCUUAGGCUCUUGCCACUCCUUGUUCCUAAAUCCAUCAAAUCUUUACCCAAAAACUUGAAAACUUCACAACACAAAACUCAAAGCGAAAGUCUCAUGAGCUCCGUUAGUAUAAGAAAACAAAUCACCACCUUAAGGUACUGUAAUGAACUCAUUCUUUAUUUAUAUUGGUGUUUUACCUACUGUAUUCCAACACCUCUAUGGUUCAUACCCCCCGAUACUAGCCAUAGAUUCAUCAAAAUAAGCAAACAACACACGAAAAACAGAAUCUAUCAAAAACAGAACAGUCUGUAGCAAUCUGUAUCAAACGUAUACUUCUGUAACUCCAAAAAUUCUGAAAUAAAUUGUAGGAUGUGAGAAAUAUGUCUAUUAAUCAUCUGCAAAAAUAAUCAACCUAAAAGCACUCUCCAGUAACAAAUGGCAUCUAAUCUUGUGAGCGCAAAAGUUUCUGUUUUUUACAGCAAGAUCACAAAGACUUCACCCAAGUCUUCCCAAUGGUUCUACUUGGCACAAACACUAAUUAAAACAUAAAACCACAUCUAAACAGAAGCUAGAUGAAUUAUUUAUUACUAAACAGGAACAAAAACCAAGGAACAAAAAUAAAAUUGGGUUGCCUCCCAACAAGCGCUAUCGUUUAACACCCCUAGCUAGGCAUAAAACAAGAAUAGAUCUAGGUAUUGUCAUCUUUGGUAUGCAAUCCAUAAGUGGCUCUCAUAAUAGAUUCAUAAGGCAAUUUAACUUUUUUCCUAGGAAAGUGUUCCAUGCCUUUCCUUAAUGGAAAUUGGAAUCUAAUAUUUCCUUCUUUCAUAUUAAUAAUUGCACCAAUCGUUCUAAGGAAAGGUCUACCAAGAAUAAUAGGACAUGUAGGAUUGCAAUCUAUAUCAAGAACAAUGAAAUCUAUGGGCACAUAAUUCCUAUUUGCAACAAUAAGAACAUCAUUAAUCCUUCCCAUAGGUUUCUUAAUGGUGGAAUCCGCAAGAUGCAAAUUUAAAGAACAAUCAUCAAAUUCACGGAAACCUAGCACAUCACACAAAGUUUUUGGAAUCGUGGAAACACUAGCACCCAAAUCACAUAAAGCAUAGCAUUCAUGAUCAUUAAUCUUAAUUUUAAUAGUAGGUUCCCACUCAUCAUAAAGUUUUCUAGAGAUAGAAACUUCUAAUUCAAGCUUUUCAUCAUAGGAUUGCAUUAAAGCAUCAACGAUAUGUUUGGUGAAAGCUUUAUUUUGAUUAUAGGCAUGAGGAGAAUUUAACACGGAUUGCAACAAGGAAAUAAAAUCUAUCAAAUACAAAUUAUCAUAAUUAAAUUCCUUGAAAUCUAAAAUAGUGGGUUCAUUGCUAUGUAAAGUUUUGACCUCUUCAAUCCCACUUUUACCAAUUUUUGCAUCAAGAUCUAAAAACUCCGAAUCAUUGGGAUGCCUUUUAACUAAAGUUGACUCAUCUCCAGUCCCAUCUUUAUCAAGAUUCAUAUUGGAAAACAAAGAUUUAAUAGGAGACACAUCAAUCACUUUUAGAUCUUCAUCAUUAUUAUCAUGAAAACUAGAAGAACACGCUUUCACAAAGCAAUCUUUUUUAGCACGCAUCCUAGCGGUUCUUUCUUUGCACUCAUCAAUGGAAAUUCUCAUGGAUUUUAUAGACUCAUUGAUAUCAUGCUUAGAUGGGAUAGAUCUAAGUUUCAAAGAAUCAACAUCAAGAGAAAUUCUAUCCACAUUCCUAGCCAACUCAUCAAUCUUAGGCAAUUUUUCUUCAAGCAAAGCAUUGAAAUUCUUUUGCGAAUUCAUAAAUUCUUUAACACUAGUCUCAAAAUUAGAGAGCAUCUUAUUAAAAUUCCAUAAGAGUUGUUGUAGGAAUUACCAUAAUUAUUAGAGGAAUUACUAGGGAACGGCCUAGAAUUAAAAUUUCCUCUAUAAGCGUUGUUACCAAAAUUGAUCCUACCAACAAAAUUCACAUCCAUAGAUUCAUUAUGAUUCUCAAUCAAAGUGGACAAAGGCAUAUCAUUAGGAUCAGAAGAAACACUCUUAUUAGCAAACAAUUUAAUAAGUUCAUCCAUCUUUCCACUCAAAACAUUAAUCUCUUCAAUAGCAUGAACUUUUUUACUAGUGGAUCUUUCGGUGUGCCAUUGAGAAUAAUUAACCAUAAUAUUAUCUAGGAGUGUAGUAGCUUCUCCUAAAGUGAUUUCCUUAAAAGUGCUUCCCGCGGCUGAAUCUAACAAAUUUCUAGAAGCAAAAUUCAAUCCAACAUAAAAAUUUUGUAUAAUCAUCCAUAAAUUCAAACCAUGUGUAGGGCAAUUACGUAUCAUUAAUUUCAUCCUCUCCCAAGCUUGUGCAACAUGAUCAUGUUCAAGUUGCUUAAAAUCCAUAAUAUCGUUUCUAAGAGAGACGAUCUUAGCGGGAGGAAAAUACUUAGAGAUAAAAGCAUCUUUGCACUUAUUCCAUGAAUCAAUACUAUUUUUAGGCAAAGAAGAGAACCAAGUUUUAGCACGAUCUCUAAGCGAAAACGGAAAUAGCUUCAAUUUAACAAUAUCAUUAUCCACAUCUUUCUUCUUUUGUAUAUCACACAAAUCAACGAAGUUGUUUAGAUGGGUAGCGGCAUCUUCAUUAGGAAGGCCAGAAAUUGAUCUUUCAUAACAAGAUUCAACAAAGCGGUAUUGAUUUCACAAGAUUCAGCAUCGGUAGUAGGAGCAAUCGGAGUGCUAAUAAAAUCAUUAUUGUUGGUAUUGGAAAAGUCACAUAAUUUAGUAUUAUCUUGAGCCAUCAUGACAAACAAUCAAUCCAACAUACAAGCGAACAAGGAGCAAGCGAAAAGAGGCGAAAGAAAAAAGGGCGAAUAAAACGGCAAAGGUGAAGUGGGGGGAGGAAAACGAGAGGCAAAUGGCAAAUAAUCUAAUGCGAGGGAUAAGAGUUUGUGAUGGGUACUUGGUAUGCCUUGACUUGGCGUAGAUCUCCCCGGCAAUGGCGCCAGAAAUCCUUCUUGCUACCUCUUGAGCAUGCGUUGGUUUUCCCUUGAAGAGGAAAGGGUGAUGCAACAAAGUAGCGUAAGUAUUUCCCUCAGUUUUUGAGAACCAAGGUAUCAAUCCAGUAGGAUACUACACGCAAAUCUCCUAGUACAUGCACAAACAAUCAAGAACCUUGCAACCAACACGAUAAAGGGGUUGUCAAUCCCUUCACGGCCACUUGCAAAAGUGAGAUAUGAUAAAGAUAAUAAGAUAAAUAUUUUUGGUACUUUUGUUGUAUAGAUUGGAAAAUAAAGAUUACAAAAUAAAUAGUAAACUAGAAUUGUAGAUUGGAAACUUGUAUGAUGUAAAGUAGACCCGGGGGCCAUAGGUUUGACUAGUGGAUUCUCUCAUGAUGGCAUGUAUUACAGUGGGUGAACAAAUUACUGCCAAGCAAUUGAUAGAAAAGUGCAUAGUUAUGAUGAUAUCUAAGGCAAUGAUCAUGAAUAUAGGCAUCAUGUCCGUGUCAAGUAGACCGAAACGAUUCUGCAUCUACUGCUAUUACUCCACACAUCGACCUCUAUCCAGCAUGCAUCUAGAGUAUUAAGUUCAUAAGAACGGAGUAACGCAUUAGGCAAGAUGACAUGAUGUAGAGGGAUAAACUCAAGCAAUAUGAUAUAAACCCCAUCUUUUUAUCCUCGAUGGCAACAAUACAAUACGUGUCAUUUCCGUUUCUGUCACUGAGAUCGAGCACCGCAAGAUUGAACCCAAAGCUAAGCACUUCUCCCAUUGCAAGAAAGAUCAAUCUAGUAGGCCAAACUAAACCGAUAAUUUGAAGAGGCUUGCAAAGAUAUCAAAUCAUGCAUAUAAGAAUUCAGAGAAGAACCAAAUAAUAUUCAUAGAUAAUCAAGGUCAUAAACCCACAAUUCAUCGGAUCUCGACAAACACACCGCAAAAGAGUAUUACAUCGGAUAGAUCUCCAAGAACAUCGAGAACUUUGUAUUGAGAACCAAAGAGAGAGAAUAAGCCAUCUAGCUAAUAUCUAUGGACCCAAAGGUCUGUGGUAAACUACUCACACAUCAUCAGAGAGGCUAUGGUGUUGAUGUAGAAGCCCUCCGUGAUCGAAUCCCCCUCCGGCAGAUCGCCGGGAAAGGCCCCAAGAUCGGAUCUCACGGGUACAGAAGGUUGCGGCGGUGGAAAAGUGGUUUCGUGGCUCCCCUGGAUGUUUUCAGGGUAUAAGAGUAUAUAUAGGCAAAAGAAGUAGGUCAGUGGAGCUACGAGGGGCCCACGAGGGUGGGGGCGUGCCUACCCCCCUGGGCGCGCCCUCCUGCCUCGUGGCCGCCUCGUUGCGUCUCUGACUUCCACUCCAAGUCUCCUGGAUUGAGUUUGUUCCAAGAAAGAUCCUCGCGAAGGUUUCGUUCCGUUUGGAUUCCGUUUGAUAUUCCUUUUCUGCGAAACACUGAAAUAGGGAAAAAACAACAAUUUGCACUGGGCCUUCGGUUAAUAGGUUAGUCCCAAAAAUAAUAUAAAAGAGCAUAUUAAAGCCCAUUAAACAUCCAAAACAGAUAAUAUAAUAGCAUGGAACAAUCAAAAAUUAUAGAUACGUUGUAGACGUAUCACGUAACGAGCUGGGGAAGUAGAGCUAGGGCGGUUUCGAAGGAAGAUAUACCUAAAGGUCGUCGGGAUGUGGAUAGGUGGGCGGCGGGAGGCCGGAUCCGCCCACACUAGGGCAACGACGAAGGGUUCGGAGGACCUCCCGCACCGGCGCUCGGCCAGAGAUAACGGUGCGGACGGCAGUGGGUCUCCUCCCUCACAGUCGACGACGGCCUAAAUGAUGCCCCUCCUCCCCUUCACCGGCAGAGGGGGAUACGUCCGGAUCUGUAACCAACGGUGAGGAUAGAAAGACAGUGUUUUUUGAAGGGAGAAAGACAGUGUUACCACCUCUAUCUUGUUUAGAUCUGGAGAGGAUGAGAGUGUGUGAAUAGAGCAACCCUAGCAAGCAAGCGCGGAGGCUCCGGCCUAUAUAUACGUAGUGGGGUAGUUUUCCUUUUUCACUCCAUCAAAACGAUCGUUUAAAAUUGUGUACAUGUCAGGUCGCCAUUUUUUUGAGUUGUUGAUUGUUUUUUGAGAUAGCUACCCACUUAUUCCAAGUGGUGUUAUGGUGUGCUAGGUCGCACUUUGUAUCGUUCAAGUCUGGUACAAGACCCUCCAUUAAAUGAACAACCACCCCCUCGUAAAAUUUGUGAACAAGCCCACGGCUAAAAUUAUCAAAAACGUGGGCUGCCCCAACAUGCAUUAUUAUUUAUAUUUUCUAUGUGGGAGUAUCCUCAAAACAAAAUGUGAGAGUACAAUAUUUAUUGGGCCCCUUUGUAGUUGGUGCUAAAUUUUGACCAAAGAUUUAACUGACAAAAUGUUAGUGCAUGUUAACAAAAAUUAUAUCGUUUGAUUAGUAUUUGAACAUAGUUUUCAAUUAUGUAAUUUUCUGUGACAUGCAUGAACAUUUGGUUAAUUAAAUUUAUAGUCGAAAUUUGGCAAGGUGCAUUAAAUCAACACAUGCAAGUAUCAAAAGGAGAGUCACGGCAUGCAUGCAUGCGUUGUAAUUAAUGCAUCGGUAAACACAAAUUAUUGAAAUAUAUCGAGUGCGGUGCUUUGAUGUGUCGCGUCAACUCGUACAAGACCGAGAAGUUCGAUUACUACAACGCCCUCUCGCCUUAACCGCACCUGCCUUUGGCUGCAUGACAGGUGGGCCACCCACCUGUUGGGCCCACCUGUCAUACACGCAAAGGCAGGAGCAGUAAGUCAAUGAAGCUGCAUCCCUCCCUCGCCCAUGAGCGUGGUGGCUGGCAGGACUAGGAGAAGCUUUCGUUCGCUACACGCUCUCCCUCCCGCACGCGGUGGACAUGCAGCAGUUCAAUCGGUGUCAGAUGGCUAGAAGCAUACUGUGGUACUCCUCCACUGCAGUAGUACUCCAUCAUUGUUCGACUUCCCGAAGAGGCGAAGAGCCAAGCGCGGCCCGGAUGCUCGUGUGGCAGUUUCAUGUGUAGAGUAGUCUAGGAUAGCGUGUACCGUGCCUGUAAGCUUAAAAUCGUUGGGGUCGGCUCCAUGCUUUUUUUUAUUAAAAUAAUCUUCUGGCCCUACCUGUCAUCCUGGUGAUUGUAGUUUGCACGCUCAUCUGGUCAGGACAGGAAUAUAUAUUUUUAAUUUGUGGUGGGGUAAAUGUUAGAGGUUGCAGCAAAUAUAGAGUAUACAAAAAGUUAUCCCUCCCGCACGCGGUGGACGGACAUGCAGCAGUGGAUUCGAUACUGUAGAAGUAGUACUAACAUCAUUGUUCGACUUCUCGAAGAGGUGAAGAGCCAAGCGCAACCCGAACGUGGCAGUUGCGAACGCUCACCACUGUGUGUUUGGUUGCAUUCUCAUCUCAGCAUAGUUGUUCCCUCUUCGUGCAUGCUCAUCCCAGCACCCCUCUUCGUGCAUGCUCUUCUCAUGCAUGCUCCUAGUGUAUUUGUGUUAAGCUAGUGUGGACUCAUGCACCCUUCAUACACCCUACCAAACAUCAAAGCAUAUCACAAAGCAUCCAGGCCCGCGUUCCAUCCACCAAAUCACAGCGAGGUGCUACAGUCGAGACUCACCGGUCACCCCGGUGUGGCCGUCAUGACCCGUCAUAUCACAAAACCCACACCUUUACCAGCAGUGGUAAAGUGGCCACGAAGUUGGACUGGAUGAAGCAACCAUCAUUUCACUGGAACGCUCGUUGAAGCCCUUUCUCCCCUUUCUUGAAGAAAACCUCACUCCAGGCUACUCACUUCUGCCUUUUUCUUCUGUAUCGAGGAAGGAAAGGUGGGCGAAUCAGUGAUGCUACUAUAUUUUCAUUCCAAGAAUCUUCUUUUUGCGAAGCACUAACCAAUUCUCACAGCCUAUUCUUUUCCUGUUUUCAUUGCGAUUGUGGUUUCCUUUCGAUUGCUUUUGUUUGUCAGUUCAUUGAUGGAUCCUGGAGCACUAGGGCAGCUCUCUAGGAAGCGAGCACCGACCAACGAGUUGACCAUGUUGGCGGGCCAACCCAUGGAGAUGAAGAACUCCAAGAAACAAACACUGGCCAAAGAGUUGACGACGUUGGUGGACGAACUCCUCAAAGAAUGUUGGAAGAACAGCAAGGGCCCCACCGUGCCUACCCCAGAAACUCUAAUGGCCACCUAUGUGAGGCUCAAGGCCGAGUUUGAGGAGAUAGUCGCCGUUGAGAAGCAAUAUUCCCCUGGCAAGGUGAUGGCCCCCAUCGAGGACGAGGAGAUGGCCCCCAGAGGGAUGGGAUCCUCCGGUGAGCUGCACAAGGUAAAAAGUAAUGCCUUACCAUAGUUGUGGUUUUUGAUUAUUUGCAAUGUGCUUGCUAAUAUGUUAGGGUUGUGUAGGUGUCGCUGGACGUCCUUGAUGAUUCCGAUGUCGCGGCCCGUCCUGUGGACAACGCCCUAGAGAUUGUUUUUGAUGUCGCGGUCCGUCCUGUUGACAUCGCCCCGGAGAUCGAUUCCGAUGCCGCUGUCCAUCCUGUGGGCAUCGCCCCAGAGAUCGAUUCCAAUGUCGCGGUGGACAUCGCCCCAGAGAUCGAUUCCCAUGCCGCUGUCCGUGUUGUGCUCAUUGCCCGAGAGAUCGAUGACAAGAAAUAGUUGGUCGCGCUAAUCCUUCAGGGUAGUUUGCAUUGUGUUUAAUUACCAGAACGAUGCGUGUUAUCAAACCAUCUUAGGGCUAGUGCACUGUCUUAUGUGGGCGGUACUUGCUACUUUUGUUUGAUAGUGAAUCAUGUGAACCCUCUCCGAGUUGUGGAAACAGAUUUACCCUCACCAGCUUUUGAUGUAAUAUAUGGCAUGCUUAGAUGUAAGUUUGAACUGUUUAUCAUAUCAGCAGGGCUUGUCUGAUGAUUCUUGGUGUUAGUAGGCUAGCUACUGUGCGAGCUAUAGUACUUGCAAAACACUCACCGAAGAGAAACGUUGGGGCUGAUGAGCUCGUGGUACGCUUAUACUGAUCCGUCGUCGAUCGGCCAAUAGCCCAAGCUCCUAAAAUUGUAGGCUUAGCGAUCGAUCAGACAAUAGUCGACACGGAUACAUUCAGCCUCCUUUGGUUUGUAGGAAUUUUAUAGGAAUUCUAUAGGAUAGGAUUUGCAAAGGAAAAAUUCCUUUAAAGCCCUUUGGUUUGUAGGAAUGGAUUCCUAUUCCUAUGUAGGAUAGGAAUCGAUCCUUCACAUUUUGGAGGAAAAAAACAUUAGCCUAGACUCAAUGGAAAAAUUUGUAUCCUAUGCACCAAAUGACAUCUCUUCCUCUACAAGAAUUGAGAUGCAUGUCAUCUCACUUCCUAUGAUUUUUCUAUUCCUAUAAAAUGUCUAUCCUAUGAACCAAAGGAGGCCUGAAACGGAGGGAGUACAAAUCCUAGGCGGGCUAGUUUGGCCUAGUGGGUUUCAGUGAUAUGACGUGGUACAGUGCCAUCCAGUCUUCGCGUGUGGUAGCAGUACUGCGGGUACAGUAAGUUUUCUUGAAGAAGCGGAAUUCAACAAAGUCAUGAUGGUUCCUUCGUCCGACCAACUUACAGUGGGAAAGGUUGGGCCUACGCUACGACCGGGGUGGACCAGGAUAAUUUUGUGCAUGGCAGGUGGACCAGGAUGGUCGACGUCCCACAUGUCGGUGAAUGAAAGUAUUCUUUCAGAUAUAGUGGACGAGCAACGAGUAUUCAUUGUUUAUUUUUGAUGAAACCUAUUGUCUCCACUAUUACGACGGAGGAGUGUGAAACACGGCAGCCCGGUGAACUUGGCAUGUGCACCACUCCCUCCUUCCUCAUGUAAUACUACCAUAGUGUUGACUAUAAGGUUGGCUAUAAGGUUACAACUUUUUCUCACUUUAUAGUCAAAAAAACUUUUUCUCACUUUCUCUCUAUCUAUUUCCUCUCAAAUAUUCUUUACCUUUCUUUUUUUAGACACAAUUAUUUUUUUAUGCCUCUUUUUUUAUAGAAUUAGUUUUUUUAUACCUAGGAGCACGUGUAGAGACGGGCUCCUGCAGAUCCCACUCCUUGACUUUGUCAAUGCCUCUCUCUCCUCCACGUAAGGCCGGUCAUAGUGGGAGUAACUUAGCAAGUAACAUAACAUACUUCAAGAAAAGUUUGCUUAUGUGGCAUAUAGUUAAUGAGGAGAGAGGUGUUUGGAGUAACAUAAUAUGUUACUGUAACAUAACACGUCCCAAGACAAAAUGAGUCUACGUCUUAAUAAAUGAUGGGUUGCAUGAUACUAUACAUAUGUUACUCCCCACUAUGAAUGUAGUAACAUAGACUAGUAACAUAUGCAUGUUACUAGUCUAAGUUACUCCCCACUAUGACUAGCCUAAGCGGGAUUAGGGCAUGUACAAUGGUUCUAUAGUAGGGAUGCCACGUAGGAUAAAUGAUGAGGUGGAGGAAAGAGAAAUCAUAAGAAAAAGAUUGUCUUCUCUUAUUUAAGAGAAGAAAAGAGAUGAUCUCUUAGCACAAUAUGUUUCACCAUGUUUUUAGGAAUAACUAGUUAUUGAAGAUAAGGCUAAGGGAUGAUCCAUUGUACACAUGUUUUUUUGUUCAUCUAUAAAUUACAUGCAAGACUUAUGAUAAGACUAUCUUAUCAACCAUGGUACUACUUGCUAUGAAUGCGGGCAGCUGGCGUCUGAGAGCAUGCACAAUGUAUUAUUCUGCUGCCUCUAGACCUGCCUCUAAGCCCUUAGAGGUUGUCGCUAUACACUGCUGGACCAAGCCUCUAGGGAAAAUUCUCUAGCGUAGCCUCUAACACAAGAGGCUGCCUCUAAGCCAUUUCUUUGCACUAAAAUAAUUCCCUGGCCCUACUUACAAUCCCUGUAGCACAUAUAUUUGUCCAGAUUUGGCCUGAGAUGGUUGGAGAGAGUAAAUAUUUUAUGAUACAUAUGGGCUCCACCUUAGAGGCUGCAUGCCAUAGCUAUACAUUGCGUUUCUUUUAACACACUAUAUAUUGCGUUACAUAUGCCCUGAGGGGGAGCACGCGGGGGGAGGUGGUGGGGUGGGGGGUUCUGGUGGGCCAGGGCGGUCAGAAGCGGGCUUGGAAGCGGUCCGGACUCCCGCAUGGCCCACCUCACAUUAUCACCAUAUAUAUUUCUUGGAGUCCGUGCGUGGCGGGUGGGCGAUCUCUUCUCCCUCCCCCGUCUCUCUCUUCUCAGUCGACGCCCGCCGAGCGAUUAGAUUUCGGCUAUCGACGGUUUAUUCAAUUGCAGUCCCACAUGUCAGUGAAAAUGUGAGACAACGCGUGUCCCCUUUGGUGAGCGGCGUGCGAGCCGGACUGUCGGGGGUGCGACGCGUACAAGUCAUAAGUGUGCCACUUUUUCCUUUUGAACUUGCAACGCGUAACAUUUUCGUGUGAUCGAUCAUAGAAAUCCAGAGCAAAAUGACGAGGAUGGUGCUUUCCCACGCGUUAGGCAGGCUAGUUUGAGUGAUAUGACGUGCUACAGUGUCGUCUACUUGCUCCAUUUUUAUGUAAGCAAGAGUCUACACUCUUACGUGGGAGGAGUGCGAAACACGGCGGAUCUGAUUUUGAUCGAGGGAUAACUGUUCCGUGCGAAAUAAUGGAGCACUGUUAGCGAUUAUAGCAUGAUAGUUAGGGCAUCUCUAGCGCUGGCCCUCAAAUUUACACCGGCAUCUGUCCGAGGACACUGAUGGAUGCCAUCCAAUGCUGCUCGCAUACCUUUCGACAACUAUAUGAACUAACCGAACGAAAUUCGUGCAAACAAAGCAAAUUUCAAAUUAACCGGAUGAAAUUCAUUACAUUUCGAAAACUUUUCCUAUAAACUAGACGAAAUUCAUUACAUAUUUCGCACAAACCAUACUAAAACCUACUGUAAACCUAAUCUAAACGAUCGUCGGCGCCCGACCACCAUGUCCGGCCAUGAACCCAAGAAAGCCGGCCAUUGCCUUUGCCUCCUCCUCAUCCGCCUCGAUAACCUCCUCCUCCGGAGCACAAGGUUCUGAAGAUUUCCACCUCCAUGUCGCCAUCAAGCGGCUAAUCGGCCGCCGAUGUUUAUCCCACCAAGCUUGGCGUCAACUGAGUGGAGGAGCGGUGGCCUUCCUCGGACCAGAGCGGCGGCGGCCUACCAUGUACUGCUCUUCCUCGCUGCCGGCUUCAUGGUCGUGGCGGCGGAGGGCGGCCGGGGGGGAGCCGGCGAUCUCCUUUGUCUGCUCCUGUGACAGUACAUCCAAGAGAGCUUUGGAGUGCGCCGGAGCGGAGCCGCCGAUGUCCUUCGUCUGCUCCUGCGACAGUACGUCCAAGAGAGCUUUGGAGCGCCAGGAGGCCAUGGUUGGAGUGGUGCCGAUAGAAGGAAGGGACUGGAGGAGAAUGAGUGUGGGUCUUUGACUAUGGCUGGGAGCUGGGGCUCAAGUUAAUAUAGCGGGCGAAUGGCAAUGAGCCACGACAGACGGAUGGACGGCUGGCGCCGGAGUAGGUUCGUCGGCAGCCGCGUGUCAUUAAUGUGGGCGGCGGACGAAAGGAUAGCCGUGGUGUCGUUAUCGCAGAACAGUCGCUUGCACCGGGAUGCCACGCAGGUGGCGCUCUCUCUGCCGUCGCGCUGCUGCAAUGUCGGCAAUAGUGAGAGGUCGCGUCAGGCGUGAAUGCGGACGCUGCUUCACUGACUUAACCGCAGGUGCAUUGUAUCACUGACAUGUGGGCCCAACGGGCAUCUAGCAUGCAUGUCAGUGACACACCAACUACACCUGCAGUUAAGGCCGGUGAAUGCGGCAUUGACGUUCUGGAGAGACGGUGACCGUUUCAGGCGGGAAGCGAGCGCAAGCUAUGGAAGGGGUUUCGGUAGGCCAGGGCGGUCAGACGCUGGCGUGGUGGUAAAAUGUGAACUCAUGGACGACGAGCCUUUGAAGCGUAUGUGGCACGUAUUGACAACCAGGCAUCCAUGCAACCGCUCUUGUCGCCAGCUAGCCUUCGACGACCACCAUUAGACACCACACAACCAUGCAUAACUUCCGAAUAAUGGACGAAUCGAUCAGAUACACACUCGUGUGCAAUGGCACUAUGAUCAGUUGCUCACGAUAGUACAUACUCCGUACCAUAGUACGCUCUCUAGCUAGGUUGUUUUAUAGAUUGUCAUUGUGAUGGACAAUAUACAUGAGCAAGGCGUCGAGUCACGAGUAUGACCGUUGGUGUUGAGCCAGGUGAAUACAUGCUCGGUGUUCACGGAGGCCUCCAGCAAAUGUCUAAACAGUAAUGUCACAUACGCAUAAUUUUUGUUUUUAUUUCUUUCUCCACUGACAGGUAGGCCCGCAUAGAUAGAUAGAUAAAGAACACGAGCUGAUGAGGCGCAUGCGGACUGGCCGUAUAAUCACAAUAUCUCGUAUACAAUGAUCAAAGUGAGCUAUCAAGACAAGUUCGAUGACCGCCAAUGCAUUUUACUCGGUAAUAAAUGACCAGGAUUGAAGGGGAAUCCAAAUUUCCUUCGUCUUCUGUCCUUGAGCUCUUGACAAACUAAUGCACUUUACGGUUGUCCGGCCACUCCACCCCAGAGCUGUCACCAAGCGUCGUUCAUGCCACCACGCCGCACGCUAACCGGUAAGGAAGCGAUGGCAUCCCGCUGCGUCGAGUUCCUCGCCGCCCACGACCGCACACAGAAUGGUAGGGAAGCGGUGGCAUCCCGUCGUGCCGAGUUCAUCGCCGCUCGCGACCUCACACCUAUGUGGGCGGAAUUUGAAGCUGCCAAGGCCGAAUGGGCGGUAGAGCAAGAGGCGGCCAAAGCCGCACAGAGGGAGCGGAAAAGUCAGAAAGCACUCAAGAAAAGAGAGGCCCACCACCGCAAGAAAGAAGAGGACGCAUGCGCUGCUGCGGAGAGGUCGACGGAGAUCCAAGCACGGUGGGGUGUCGCCGACAAAGCCGGGAAGGAGAACGACGGCGUCUGGCCAGCAUGUGAGAAGUAGUAGUACUAGUAGUUAGUGUGUGUGUCUGUGUCACCCGUAUGUUUGUUUAAUUAAUUACGAGCAUGUACCAGUACUACUAGUUACUACUGUAGUUUUUAGAGAAAAUUACCAGUACAUUAGCCUAGACUCAAUGGAAAAAUUCCUAUCCUAUGCAUCAAAUGGCAUCUCUUUCUCUAUAGGAAUUGAGAUGCAUGUCAUCUCACUUCCUAUGAUUUUCAUAUUCCUAUACAAUUCCUAUCCUAUGAACCAAAGGAGGCCUCUGCUAGAGUAACUACUGUAGCUAGCAGUACUGCUGGUACAGUAGUUUUCUUCAAGAAGCAGAAUUCAACGAAGUCAUGAUGGUUCCUUCGUCCGAGCAACUUCACAGUGGGAAAGGUUGGGCCUGUGAUUUGACGGCUCAUUAGUAAUUACUGCGGAGCGACGACCAGGGUGACUCUCCCUUGGAGUUCUGCGGGCAUGGCAAGUGGACCAGGAUGGUCGACGUCCCACAUGUCGGCGAAUAGAAGUAUUCUUUCCGAUAUCGGGGAGCAAGGAAACUGUGUGGUAUAGUAUCACUGGUGAUUUAUAUUUAUUUUUUAUUUCUGAUGAAUGCUAGCGUUUCAACUCUUACGACAAAGGAGUGCCAAACACGGCACGUGCUGGAUGUCCCACACGUCAGCGAAAGGAGUGGGACAUGAACAGCGUGGUAGAGCGUCUCCACUUCUGGGUCGGAGACCACACAUAGUAGUACUACUGUACUAGUGGUAUGAACGAUACAAAGUGCGACCCAGAGAGAAAGACACGUCUAGUUGGAAGGUCUCGGGGCAUACACAUAAACAAAUAUAAAACCUAAUAUGUGCCUCCAAUUAAUAUAGUAGUACUAGAGUACUUAGGCACGUACUCCAUAACAUCACCGGGCAUUGCACGUACAACAUUUAGUGGUAGUAAGAGACAAAUGCCUAUAUGCCACACAUGUUCAUACUAUUUGUGCCUUUCUACUUCACUUACGGCGCUACAUUACUCAGGUUCGUACGUCCACUCCUGGGUACAUGUCCGUCUCGUAGUUCCAGUCCCACGUGUUCUUCAUAGAUGGAAUGAUCCAUAACUGUGGGCAACGGGAGUCCAUAUCAUCACAGUUAGUGUGGCUCCCCAUGAUGGAGACUCAUCCAAACUAUGGCCAGCCUCGACGCGGAGCAGUCGCGUGCACCGGGAAGCGGCGCUCUCUCGGUCGUCGCGCUGCUUCAAAGCCGACCCCAGUGAGAGGUCGCCUCCGCUCUGGCGGGGCAUUAAUGCGGCACUGACAUUCCAGGGCGACGCUGACCGUUUCAUGCGGGAAGCAUGCGCUGGCAAGGGAGGGGGGUUGGGUCGGCCAGGGCGGUCAGACGCGGGUGUGGUGGUGGUAUUGGUUUUGAACCGUUUCAGGUGUAGUACUGGUAGUUUGCAAAACUACUCAAUUAUUGCACUCAGUUUCCUAAGAAAACAUGGUAAAAAACAUUACUCCACAGCCCGCUUCCCUUCUCCUUCAUCUUCCACCGCCCGUGCACGUCCGCGGGAAGCGACCGGUCAACCCUUAUAUAGGAGUGCUAGCACAAAAAUGCAUGCAUGACCACUAAAAUUUCCAGAUUAAAGCGCCGCUUUGGCGGGAGUAUGGCGUAUGUUGUUACCUUCGGCCGGGCCAUGGCUACCGAGCUACGGCGGCCAGAGAAGAGGCAGCGGGAGGGGAAUGAAUGUAGCUACUGUUUGGGAUCACGUGUACCCGCGGGUGCACAAAUUGUAACAUACGUGUCUGCUUAAGUGGGCGUCAUGUAACUGGUGUGUGUGAGAGAUUCUGAGAGACAGAGUGCGUGUGUGCGACUCUACUCUUCAGACAUGUACUCAACCUUUUGCAUCGGGAUAUAAGUAUAAUGGUAUUACACUUUAGCUAGUGAUUUACGUGGCCAUGUUAACGUGGUUGUGCAAAAAAAGUCACUUCCUGCUUGUGAUUUGCGUUAUAUAAUUACUAGCAAGAUGCUCGUGCAUUGCACGGAACAUCAAUAUGCAUUUUUUUACAAAACACCUAUUGUGAUUGACCCAUGCAGGAGUAAUCCCAUGUGUAAAAACUAAUGAUAUCUCGAGAAUUUAUCGGAAAAUUGGUAUCUCGACAGUUUCAUCAAAAAAAUGAAAGAUGAGAGAUAAGGUGAGGAGGAGUGGAGCGUGGUGGUGACUGGUGGUCGGACUGGGCGGAGGCAUGGGGAUGGACGGCACCGGCAGGCGACAGCGGUCACCAUGCUAGAUUGUUCCAGAGACUUCCUUUUUUAAUUGCACAGCAAUGAGGUUGUGGGAGAUAAGGACGAUGAACGAGGCAAGGCCUUGUCUAUAAAUGUGGAGAGAGGUGCGGGUAUCUGUUGUAAAAUUGUCAUAGUUUGCUUUCUAUCCAUCGGAUAUAGAUCGGACGGUCUAUAUUACAAGAUGGCAGGCACACCAUCAUCACCAACUCAUUUUUCUAUAAGAGUAGAGAUGAUAAGUUUGCUAACUACUAAAGUAAAGUGGAAUUUGUCCAUGUUAUACAAGUAAAUUAAGGUGAUUGCUUAUCAUACGGGUAAGGUUGGACGAAGGGUGGUAGGAACAAAUGCUCCACCUAGAGCAUGUGUGUGUGAGAUGGAGUCUUAGUGUGUGUGGGGGGGUACGUGUGUGUGACGCGGGGUCCUCAGUGGCGGAUAUAAUUUAAGUGUGCGUGGCUUCAUCAUAGUGUAUGACAGGGUCCACCAACGAGGGGGUGCGAGAGAGAAAAGGCCCGUAGAGAGGGAAGAGAAGGCGUGUGCGCGUGAGAGGAGUCGACAUCGAGAGAACGUGUUUGUUCGAGAGACACCGAGGAAGACUACUAUAUAUCGAUGGUGCAUGUAGGCGGGAAUUAAACGAAGGAAUGGUCUUAUUGGUUUCGGGGAUAUAGGGGAAGAGUGAGAGAGGGGGGUAGCUAGAAGGAGAUUAUUAAGUGUGAGUGUGUGUUUUACCCAUCCAGGCGGAAGUUAUGUGCACACAAGAAGAGAACGAUUCGAUGUGGCGUUAGGGUUGAGGGUAAUUAACUAUGUAUGGAGACAUAGGAGACCUUGAAUGUGCAUGUGCGAGAGGUAUACAUGUAUACGUGGGAUGUGUGUGUGCGCGCGAGCAUGAUCGAGAUAAAAGAAAGAAGACAUAAGUCAUAAGAUCAACGAUAUGGGAGAGAUCGGUGUGACAAUAUGCAUGCAUGUGAGAGUGCAGGGAAAAAGGCUCGAUAAUUGAGCAUGUGUUUUUGUCUUUAAGAGAUAGUGGCGUGGACUGGAGCAUGCAUCUAUGGCGAGCAGAGGGAGCGAGACACAACGAUUGUGCAAAAGAUAUCAACCUAUAAAUGCAUGUAUGGAGAGACAUAUAUAGUGUGGGUGAUAGGAAGCAAGAGUGUGUGCGAGAAAGAAAUGUUGACGGAGAAACUACAGAUAGAUACAGAGAUAGAGAUGCUAGAUAGAGCGGCUAGUUUGAGUGUUGGAGAUGACCGCCGGGUGGUUCAGAGGGUGAAGUUAUGUGUGUGUGAGAGAAAGAUAAAAAGAGGGCACUUGACUGCAUGUAGAGAGAAACAUAUAUAGUGUGCGUGAUAGGAAGCAAGAGUGAAGGCAAGAAAGAAGGUUGAUGGAGAAACAGAUAAAUAGAAAGAUAAAGAUGCUAGCUAGCUAGUGUGUGUUAGAGAUAGGAGUCGAGUGGAUCAUAAGGCUGAGUUAUGUGUGUGCAGGUGUGAGAGAGAUAGAGAGAGUGUGCAUGUGAGUCACAUACAAACAAAUAUCAUAGAGAAAUGAGAUCCCGAGAGACGGAGUUUUGUGUCUGCGAGAGAGAAAGAUAUUUCACAAUGAGAGUGAUAGCUAGAGAGACAUAUGAGGGAACGCAAGAUAUCUCUAGGGAGAGAGAGUGUGUGUGAAUGACAUACAAGAGAAUGGUGGAGAGAUAUGAGACCCUGGGAGACAGAGUUUGUGUUUGUGUGUGAUAAAGAGAUAUUUAAGAGGAAGAGUCGUAGCUUCUCAUAUCUAAGGAGCGAAAGACAUCUCUGUGUGAGAGGGCGUGUGCGAGUGGCACACAGGGGAAUAGUAGAGAGAAAUGAGACCCCGGGAGACGAAGUUUGUGUUUGUGCGAGAGAAAGAUAUUUCACAUGGAGAAUCAUAGUUAGAGACACAUAGCAGGGAGCGAGAUAUACUUAGAGAGAGAUAGAGUGAUGAAGGUCGAGGGAGAGAGUACCGUCGGUGUGUUGCGAAGAUAAAAGAUCAUUGUCGACAUACAUGUAGCACGAGAGAUACCCGAGAGACGAUGAACACGUAUAGGUCUAGAGAGAUACUCCUAUAUAAGCAUGAGUGAUAGCUAUAUGAGACGAAUAUAUGGAUUAAAGGGGAUUCAAAUAUUUAAACUGUAGUUCACGACAUCGAUAAUAUCAUAACGCAAAUUGGUGUAUGAAACAUGCAUAUUCAUUUGAAUUUGGGGACACGUGUAAUGUUAUAUAGUUUAUCAAUAUUAGUGAUCCAUAGAUUCUUUAAUUAGAGACAAUGCAUGGUUUAUAUGCAAUUAAUGUCUAGACGGGAUUACACUAUAUGUUGCGUGUGUGAAACACAUUAUACAUGUUUGAGAAGUAAAAAAACGCAUGAAACACACAAUAAUUGGAGACAGUUAGUGAGGAAUGCAUACAUUGGAUUUCAACAUAAAGUGGUUUCAAAUAUCUGGAAAUCCAAAUUAAGAUGGAUACAGCCUUAUGAAUCUUAGAUCAUGCCAUUUGUAAACCAUAUUUAUGUAUAAAGGGUGUUGUGCUUUUGAAAGUAUAUAUAAAAAAUGAUGUAUAUAGAAUUUUAUUCCAAUCGCAAAUGGAUCCUGCCCGAACAAAAAUAGAAUACAAACUGGAUUCAAAUUGAGUUGGCACGAUAAACGUGCACUCUUGCUCUGCAAAUAUUUGAACGAAGCGGGGAAAGUCGCAGUAACCGCCUGACAUCAAAAUCUGCGAGAUGGAAAUUACUACCUAUCUCUAACACGCAAAGCCAAUCGGCUCGAUUUCUAUAGGUUUUGAUAGGGGUAGGUUUGUAAUUUCACUCAAACGUGACAUAACCGCCUCUCACCCGGAUUCAUACACGGUGGGUGCCAAAACACAGUGUCUCCUCGGUGAAAAUCGACUCCCUCCCCGAUUCAUACACGAUGGGCGCCAAAAACAAACUCUCGUCGGCAAAUAUUCGGUAUAUGUAUAGUAAAAAAAUAAUAAUAAUCGGUAUAUGCGAGAUUACCGUCCUAUCCCCAACUGACUAAUAUUGCUGUGAUGUAGGAAAUUUUAAAUGGGGGCUAAGUUUGUAAAUUUCCUCGCAUUUGAGACAAGCGCGCCCUGAAGACAUGGUUCCCCCUUCCUCUCUCCCUCCAUUUCCCCAUUCGUACUCCGUGGGCGCCAAAACACCCUCUCCACCCCAGCCUCCUCCGUCCGCCACCCCAUCCACCGCCGUCCUCCUCCACCAUGCCGGAGCUAAUACCCCGACGUCGUCGGCCAUUAUAAGAGAUCGACCUCUCUCAUCCUCUGCUUCGGACCGGGAUCCUUGCAUCCCGUCCUCUCGCUUCAUCCCCGCCGUCGUCCACCUUGCCGGCGCCGCUCCUACGACCGUCUCGUCCACCGUGCCCCGCCGCCACCGUCUACCCUCCUAGAUAUGCUUUCACGCCGCCGACAGCCAUCGCUACCGCAUCACCGUCAAAUUCUCAGCAGAUGCAUAGACGGUGCCGCACCAGAGGCGGUACUCUUUCGUAUAUGCUCAACUUAUUUAUCGCAACAAGAAAAUAGAUCGCCACUGCUUUACUCUGAUUUCUUGUCCAUCACUUACUUGCUAGUUGAAAGCAAACAUUGGUUGCGAAGUUGCCUUUGUCCGGUUUGCACCUUUAGAUCCGCCAUGGCACGCUCAACACUAUACUCGCAGUGCUUAUGGUUUUCCCCUUUUAUAUUCCACACUAGUUAAAUGACAUUAGACUAAAUUUCAAAAUUGGGUCAGUCAAUUUUUGAGAGCUUGUCGGAGUUCGCCGGUGCGAAGGAAGGGGCUCGGGUGGGGACGGUGGUUGUGGGGGGCGGUGGUGGGGCCUCGCCGAACGAAGAAAACUCGACGCGGGUGGGGGCGGGGGUGGGGGUGGCGGAGGAACACAGGCGGUGGGGGCCGGUGGUUCGGUCGGCGGCCCGUGCGGUGUUCUGUAUGGGAAGAAUCAGAGACAAGGAAGAAGAAGGGUUAGGAGACGUAGGAUCUUCAUCCAACAACCUGAAAUGGUCGACUGACCCAAAUGACAAAAGUCACGCGACUUGCAUGCAGACAUGCAGAAUAUGCUUCCUCUUCUGUUCUUUAACAUGUUCCUCUUCUAUUCUUCUUUAGUAAGCACAGUAUGUUCCUUGUCAGGAAGGGGAGCAGGGACAUCUACAGUCGACACCUCUAUUGGGCCGGUUCUGCUAAAUGAUUUCGCACUUCGAGUUGGUCUACCAUAAUACCCCGGAAAUGGUGGGAGCCGCGUGGUCUUUGAUAGACUAAACUGAUAGUAACAGCUGUGCGCCUUCAGAUGAAUAGAGCUGGCAUGUAGGUGAUCGAUAGGCUGCAUAUUAGUAGCGGCAAAACCCUAUGUUUUCCAGCCAGAUCCGCUUUCCCGAUUUAUUUAUGGUGGUUAUGGUGUACCCCUAUUAUCUACACUCCGAUCUGCCUACUGGCUCUGCGCUCUCGUUAUCAUGGUUUGGCAAUAAACUUUCUAUACGGUAUAUUAUGAACCUAUCGUCUGCCAACUAUCCUUACAUAUGGGGCCCCUAACAGGGAGCUUAUUUUUUGUGUAGUUGUGCCUGAUUAUAUUAAUCUACUCACCAUGUUACAACACACAUGGGCUCUCUCAUCAGAAUCCAGUGAUAGCACACAAGGGUUUACAGGGAGCCUCUAUUACAUUACAAUAUCCUCUGCAUUAUAAUGAUAAUCUCACUACUAUUUGUGAUUUCAUGCUUUACAGAUAUUGUACGUAAUCACAAUGAAUAUAAGAAUGCGCACAUCAGAAGAAUAUUGCGGAACAGUUCAAUGGAUAACAAACUUGGCAUCAAGGGAUUGAGGUCCAUUGUGGAUGCAAUGAAACCCACAUGCUCCCGACCUAUAGAUUCGUAUUCAGAAUAUGAUCCUAAUGACUAUUCUGAGCUCAAGGAGUCAAAGGUAGAUGGCCUAUCCUGUUCACCCAAUAAGGUGCAUGUUCUAAUUUGGCAAGGUUUUAUUGGUUGCACAUAUCUUGCAUAAGGUGUCUUGCAUUUCUUUUGCUUCGUUGCACCGCCAUCUGCUUAGUUUACUCAUGAUAUAUGUGAAGAUGCCAUGCCCAUCUAUUAUCAACACCUAUUCCAUUUGUCGUCAUACCAUGUUUUUCCAUUCAAAUGUUGUUCUUGUGUUUCAGACAUCCAAAAGGAAGAAAGUGAUUGCAGAACCUGAAGGAGUACAAGCAAAGUCCUUGAAAAAGGUGGUGCUACCAGAGAAAUCACAUAGCACCCGACGUAUAUUGGCGGUCGAAACAGCGCCGCAAAACCUAGGAUAUCGCAACUAUGCUGGUCGCUGCUUUGCUCUUGUGAGUACCUAUUGUCAUAUCGUUGUCCUUACAUUCAUACCUUGUGGAUUAUGUGACAUCGUUGUGCAUUAUAGCUUGCUUAUCCACUGUUCGCUCCAAAUUAUCAGAUCUAUAUUAAUGCUUAAAUUAAUGUAGAAUAAACCCAAUGCCUAUGAAGAAAUUUAGUUCUGCAUUGUUCUUGUAAGUAUCUGUUGUCCUUCAUCACUGUACUUAUAUUUGUCAGCUAGUUCUUCAUGUACACUUUGCGGCUUAUUUUCCCUUGUCCUCUAUUUUUCUAUACAUCAGAUCUACAUUUACUCUUGCCAAAAUAUUGAAUAAAACCAAUGUUACUGAAGAAGUUUAGCUCCGCAUUGCUCUUGUCAGUGCCGUCUGCCUGUAUGAUGUAUUUACAUUUGUACUCUGCAUCUUAAGUUAAAUAAUCGCCAUUUGUUCCUAUAUUUUCACAUCUAUAUUUACUCUUGACAAAAUGUAGAAUAAAGGCAAUACUCUUGAAGAAGAGUGUGCGGUAAACUUCUUGAAUUGCCCCCCCCCAUCAAUAUGGACAAGGCCUUUAUAGAGCCUGUCUUCACUACUAAUGUAAGUUUGUCCUCCUCGAGCCUUCAAACUUUGUUGUUUAUAUUUGGAUAGCUAUGAGUGCAAAUACUGUUUAUUUUUGUCGUCUGCAUCAAAUUGCUUGUUCAAAGUUUAUAAAGUAGAAGUACAUAAACAUAAGUUUGUCCUUCUCAAUUUCAGUCUUUAGUUGUACAAUCUAGUUCCUUAUUCGUACCAUGUAAAUUAAACUAAACAUAGCAAGUUAUCUUCUUUAGCACUAUGUGUAUGCUUGUGUUCUUGAUUUGUAAUCCAGUGGUGUGGUGAGACUACCAACAACAACACAAUGUCAUAUCCUGCUAUGUCUCAACUAUGAACAAUGCCAUAUUAUAUUAAUGUUAUUUAAAUCAGGUCUCUUUAUUUACCAAUCUGAAAUGGUAUAAAUUGACAGUGCACUCACCAUUCAUGCUUAUACGUUGUUUAGAACUACAUCUAUGCUUGUGUUCUUGAUCUGUAAUCCAGUGGUCUGGUGAAGCUGGCUGCUCCUGCACAAUGCCAUUUCUUGUGGUCUUAACUAUGAACAAUGCCUAUUAUGUUAAUGCUAUUUUAAACCGUGUCUCUUUAUUUCUGACAAAGAAAUGAGAUGAAUUGACAGCGAUGAUGCUUAUACGUGCAAAACCUGUUAUCUACCUACUUGUUUCCCUUUCAGGGUGACAACACUGCUGCUAGGAAAAACUGCCACAAUGAUAGUGAGACGAACCCAUUUGUUUGUCCCUCUAACACAUAUUCCAGAGGAGAAGGCAACACAUAUUCCAGAGGAGAAGGCAACACAUAUUGAGGGUAGGGAUACAACCACAAAGUCACAUCUUGAUGUAGUGUCAAACUUACUCAGUGACACAAGCUCGAUGAAGUCACCGCCUGAAUCUGUUCGACUUCUUCAGUCCAAAAUUCAAGCAGAAAUACAUGCUUCUGCUCAAAUACGACUGGAACUCCAAUCUCUAUGCAAGAUUAACCGUAAGUCAGGACAUUUAUUGAUGCUAUGCUGCUUAAGUUGGUGGACAUGAGCGCCAAAGAAGCGCAGUCUCGUCAAGUUGCUAAGCUGCUUGCGCUUCAACUCCUGGGCCGGGCUAACCUUUCUUGAACUGUGUUGAAGUGCUGUCAGUUCUGUCUAUUUUUGUCCGCCUGUUAACUUCCACUGGUGGUGACCUGCCCAGUUUAUGUAAUCUGCUGUUUGGUUGCCCUUUAUUAUCAUUGGCGCCGAACUUUGAUGCCGAGGGGAUGUAAUAUGAUGUAAUUUCUUUGUUGUAUAGUCUAGGCUUAUUCUUGGUCGGUAUGCUGUAAUUUAGGCCGGAAGGUUCAGUGGAUCUCAGUGUUGUCAAUCUUCAGGCUGGCCCGUUACUCAUAUGGGCCAAAACGUGGGCCUAUAAUCAUCUUGGGCCAUUAGCAGGUCUAAACCUAUAGUUGUUUCCCGCCUUUAACAUGCCGAGUAAAGUUUUGUCCAGCUGGGCCAGAGAAUACCAUGGGCUUUUAACAGGCUAAAACCUAGAUUGGGAUAGCGUUGAGGCGAAAAAAUCACGGGCCAAUACAGGCCAAAAUUGCCUAAGGCCCAUGUUUGUCCCAAAUAGGACGAGCAGUUAACAUGCCAAAAUAUAUCUCGGGCCUGUUUGGCCCAAUAAAAUUAUGGGCUUUAAGCAGGCCGGUAUCUAUGCGGGCCAUAAGCCUAAAAGUGUCACGGGCCAUUAUCAGAUGGGCUGUAAGCAGGCCGGAUUCAACGCAGGUUGUAAUUAGGCCAAACUGUUACACGGGCCAUUAACAUGCCGAUAGGCUAGUUGGGCUGAAAUUUAUCCACGAAGACUACGGGCCGUUAAGAGGCCUAAAGUUACUUCGGACAAGAAAUAGCCCAGUUUCUGCAUGGGUCGAUAAAUGGCCUAAAGUUAAACCGGGCCGACAACGUCCCAGAUGCACCAUGGGCCGCUAACAGGCCGAAACUAUUAUCGGGUCGAACUGGUAAACGGGCAUUUAACAGGCUGAAAUACAAACCUGUCUUAGUAUGGGCCCAAAAGAACAGUGGCAUGUUAACGGGCCUGAUCCGAUAUGGUCUGUAAUUUGGCCGAAAACGCGAUAGGCUGUGAACGGGCCUGAUCUGGUAUGGGCCUCAAUUUGACCCAAAACAUGGCAGACUGUUAACGGGCCAGCCCACUAGUGUCUGAAAAAACAUGGUGGGCCUUUAGCUGGGCCUGCCUUUUCACCGGAAUGGGCCUCUGUUGGGCCGUGCCAUGUGUCGACGUAUCAUAGGCGCCUCCUGUCCAAUGAGUGGAUGACAUCUGUCCGAACAUUGAGCCAACACAUGUUUCCUCUGGCCAAUGAGAAUUUUACACGUGGAAAAUCCCCAUUGGUCCCGGCUGUUAACGGGUUAUCGGAUCCAAAACCGGACCCGAUAGCUUAACGGCGUCCCGUUACAGUGGAUGCCACAUGUCGGUCACCCUUGACGAAAGCACUUCUAUGACGCGCGAUUUAUCGUCAUGGAAGUGGACACUUCCAUGAUGAUAAUUUUGGUAAUGUCAUGGAACACUUCUACGACAGCACAGUAUCUUGAUUCUGUCAUAAAAUUGUCAUGGAUGUACAUGCAUGACAGAAAACGUGACCUACUGUGACAAACACGUAUCAUCACGGAAGUGUCUUUUUUUUGUAGUGCAACAAAUGCUACUUUAAGAGUCUUGCUCCACAAGAAGGCCACGGUAUCAAUAUCAAAGAAAGUGGCAAAGCCCAUGAGUGGAAGUUGACGAACGGAAAGUAAGUUGUAUGCAAGGGACUCAACAAGCAUGACUUUCUCGAUCAUGAGAUCAUGAGAAAUGACAACCUUGCCAAGACCCAAUACCUUAGAAGAUGAGGCAUCAUACCAUUCGACAUUGGUGGGCAUAGAUGAAACCUUGUGCACGUCCACCACCAAGUCCUUUCUUCCGGUCAUAUGAUUUGUGGCUCCACUAUCGAGCAACCAUGAACCCCCACUGGAAGCAAACACCUACAAGAGAUCAAUGCUUGGUUUUAGGUACCCAUUUUGUAAUGGGUCCUUUGAUGUUAGCAACAAGGGUCUUAGGAACCCAGAUAGACCAUUCAAUGUACUCAUAAGAAGAACCAACAAAUUUGGCAUAAACAUGCCCAUCACUAGCACGGCAUAACACAUAAGAAGGGUUAAAGUCGCCAGCUUUGUUGGAAGGAGUGGCAUUGCCCUUAUUGACACCACCACCCUUUGCAUUAUUCUUCUUCUCCUUAGAAGUACCCUCUCCCACCUUCACAAACAUUUGCUUGAGAGGAGGAGGUUGUUUGGUGUUGUCAUUCUUCUUCUUCUUGGACUUGGGUGCAAACCCAAUCCCCUCCUUGCCCACAACUUCCUUUUGAUUGCUCAAAAGGUCGUUGAGGUUCUUCUCACCUUGUAUGCAAGACACAAGGCCUUUCUCAAGUUGCUCCUUCAACUUGGCAUUCUCCUCCACAAGAUGCACAUGCUCACAACACGAGUUGGUAGAAUUUGCAUUAUCAAUUAAAACCAUAUGAGGAAAUGUGGCUUUCUCCUUGGUUAGCUUCACUUGGAGUUGAUCAUGAGACUCCUUGAGGCUAGCAUGAGCACCCUUCAAGGCCUUGUGAGCCUUGUCAAGUAGAUCAAACUCCUCCUUGAGUCUAGCAUGGUCAACCCCAAGUUUGGCCUUCUCAGAAUUGAGCACACGAGAGACAACAAGAGCAUGAUCAAGAUCUUUCUUUAAUUUAGCAUGAUCAUCGUUGAGUGACUCCUCAAGAGCCAAACGAUGACCACGCUCUUCCUCAAGCGCAUUAGAGAGAUCCGAUAUCUCAUCGACAUAGUCACGACUAUGCCCUUCCAUCUCAGAGAUGGUUUCUUCGUGAGCCUCGAUCUUCACCAAGUUGUUCCAAGAGAGCAAUGAAGUGCUUCUUGGUUUUACCUUUGAGCUUACUCAUAAAAGACUCAAAUUCAUUUUCCUCCUCCUUCGCCCCCUCACUUUCAUCAAUGCAAUCCUUCAAUGAAGGAUUAGUAGUGAUGGUAGUUUUGAUGUUGGGGGUUACCAUGUUGGUGGCUUUAGCCAUGAGGCACUUGGCGGUGAUGUUCUCGUUGGGUGAAUCAAAGAGGGACACCUAUGGAGUUGUUGCAAUGGCAACGGAGGCCAUGGCAACCGUCUCACCAUCUUCUUCUUCUUCAUCAUCCUCAUUGUACUCUUCUUGUGCCACCAACCCCUUGGGAGGAGUCUUCUUGGUGAAGUUGUUCUUGUUGGGGAAAGACUUGGCCUUGUCUUUUCGGAUAAGCUUGCCACCAUUGUCUUCCCUCUUCUCGUACGGGCAAUCCACAACAAAGUGACUAACAUUGCCACAAUUAUAGCACGUCCUCACACGUUGCUUGACUUUGGCGCCACUUGAGUUGUUCUUGUUGAAGUUGGGCCUUGAGAUCUUCUUGUUACCCCAAAGUUGCCGUGAAGCAAGAGCCAUGUGCUCAUGAUAGGCAUAUUUGGUGUCUUUGUCACAUCCCUAGUUUUGGUAUGCUCUGAGCUAGCUAGUCAUGUGUUGCAUCAUGUUUAAAUUCUUUUUAAUUUGAAAUGGGGAUUAAUCAAACCCUAGCACCAGAUCAAAUCAAAUAGGUUCAACAUAAAAUCAUUUUCAAUGAACCCAAAAUGCCCUUUGAAAAUGUUCAUGAUUUCUGAUAAAGGUGAAAACCUCUGCCAAAAAUUAUGAACAUAUUUCUAGGACAUUCUGGAUUUUUGAAUUAACUCAUAUUGUAUUUGAAUUGGGGCAUUUAAAUACUAUAAAUAUUUUUAAAUGCUCCAACAAUUUUGGAAUUAGUUGAGGGCCUCUGGAAUAAUUCAUUUAGUGCCCAUAACUAUUUUCAGAAUUUUUAAAAGUGAUUUGGUUUGAAAACCAAAUUAAAACAAAUUUGCAUAAAUAGAAAACAGAACAAAACUAGAAAAGACAGAAGAAAGUGCAGGCUUACCUGGCUUACCUUGCAGGCCCACCUGGCGGCCCAGCACUGUGCUGGCCCAUGGCCAGUCAGCUGCUUCCUCUCGCCGGGCAGGUAGAGAGGUGAGCGCCGGCGUGCCUGAGCUCGCCAUGGCACCACCUGCUUCCCGCCCGCGCCCCUGGACGUCUGGACGACCUCCACGUCGUCGCCCCGACCCCCUGGACCCCUCCAUUCGCCCCCAACGCCUCUCUCUCGCCGUUCCCCACCACAGCCGAGCGUGCUCGCCGCCGCCGACCGCCGUAGCCGUGGCCACCGCCUCCCCCUCGCCUCUCCGACAUGCCCAGGAGCUCCGCCACCGUCGCCGACAUCUCUCUGUCGACUCACGCGACGCCAAACGCCCCGAAGUGCCGGCCCUGACCCCUUCUUCCUCCUCGGGUCGCCGAGAUCGCCACCGUCGCCCUGCUCGCUCCGGACCUCCCUCGCGCCCACUAACCUUCCCAUCGUGCUCGCGGUGAGCUUCUCUUCCUCCUCCCCUAAACCCCGUUGCUCGCCGCCUCCUCUAGGCCAUAGUUGCGCGGACGCCGAAGCUCGCCGGCGCCGUGCCUCAUCGCUGCCGCGGCCACAGCUGCUGCCACCCGCGUCCGAGCUUUGCCCCGUACUCAGCACUCUCCCAGGAGCCGGGCGUGCCCAUCCGUUCGACCUGCUGUUCCCCCUAGCACCAACCCCGACCUUGCCCGAACUCCAGCCACCGCCGCGAGCUUCGCCCCGGCGCGCUCGGGCCGUCUCAGCCCGUCCCAACCGCACAGAAAGACGCGGGGCACUCCCAGCUUCACGCUGAUGCCUCCGCCGUCCCUUUUGGUCGUCGGAGCAGGAAACCCGAGCCCCUCCGCCGCUUCUGGCCUCGCCGGCGUCAUGUCGCCGGUGGGUUUGACCCAUUUGACCAUGUGGGCCCUGCCCCCUGGUUAAACCUAGAUUAGGAAUUAAUCUAAUACUAAUUUAGUUAGUUAGCUAACUGUGACACUGACCAGUGGGUCCCACUGGUCAGUUUGACCUGGACAUCCCCGUUGACCUGCUGACGUCACAAUGACGUAGUGCUGAUGCAGUAACUCUUUUUCUGGAUUUAUUCUUAUACAGGAAAUUCCAGAAAAUAGCCAAAACUUCUAAAAAUCAUAGAAAAUCAACCGUAACUCCAAAUGAAAUAAUUUAUAUAUGAAAAAUUAUCAGAAAAAUGCAAUCUAUCCAUCUGUACUGGUUUCAUGCAUGUUAGAACACUUUAACCUUGCUGUUUAGGUGAAACAUGUUAAUACACUUUAUAAACCCAUAACUUGAGUUUGUAUUUGAAUCUUUGAUUCAAAUGAGCUCAAACCACCCUGGUUGUAGAUGCAUUAGCCCAACACACUCAUUUUUCCAUGUCAUAUUCAUGCAUCAUAUUGUUGCAUUGCAUUGAUUGUGUUUUCUCUCUGUUGCCGGUAAUUGUCCCCUCUCAGUAGACGUUGCUUCGACGAUGUGAUCGAUGACACCGAUGAAGAACUAUAUUAUCUUCAGAAGUGCCAGGAAAGCAAAACCCCCUUGUUCAUUCCGAUACAAUCCCACUCUCUCGCUCCUGCUCUCUUUUACUGCAUUAGGACAACAACGAUUCAACUGUUACAUGCUGCGGUAGUUGAACCCCCUUUCCUCUGCAAGACCUGUCAUUGCCACAGUAAAUAGAUGAAACCCACUAGCAUGAGUAGGAGUUGUUUGAGCCCUUAUGUGCCUACUCAUUCAUGCUUGUUUGUCAUGCAUGCUAUUGCUUAGAGUUGUGUCGGGUCUGUUUCAUCGGGGAUGAAUUGGGAAGUUGUGAACACGAUUUGGUAAAGGUAGCGGUGAGAGGCCAUGUAGGAGUACAUGGUGGGUUGUCUCAUUGUAGCCGUCCUCAGGAACUGAGUUCUGUGUUUGUGAUCCAUGAACAGCUACUACCAUGCAUUGGACCCGAAACCAAUGUACCCUCUCGGCUUCUUAACCACCCUUGUCCUCUGUCCAGGAGUUGCAAGUAGUUUCUGGUGUUUGUAGUAUGCUGGAGGCCGUGCGCAGCGCUGACUGCGAGGUGGGCUGUGAUGCGGUAGGCAUGUGGCACGGUGUACCGAGCACCCGUUUGGUGUCUCGGGAACCCUGCUCACAUCGUUCGGGGCCGUAUGUGGAAACUCGGCCGGACUCCCUGCGGAUGGAACCUGAAUAGGCAAUAAACCUAGACUAGAGACUUGAGUGUUUAGGUAGGCCGUGGCCGACACCGCUUGAAGGUUGCCGAGAUACAUGACGUGUACAUGGCGGUAAGUGGCGAGAGCGUGUGUGAAGAAGUACACCCCUGCAGGGUUAACAUCAUCUAUUCGAAUAGCCGUGUCUGCGGUAAAGGACUUCUGGGUUGCCUAUAACAGUUCAUAGACAAGUGAAAGUGGAUACUCUAAAAUGCGCAAGAUAAGCGUGAGUGCUAUGGAUGGCGUUCUCGUAGGGAGACGGGAGCAGAUCCAUAGUGGUGUAUUGAUAUGGUGAAUAUGUGGACUCGUGUGCGCCACCUCAAAAGAGUUACUUGCAGUCGUAGUUCAGGAUAGCCACUGAGUCAAAGCUGGCUUGCUGCAGUCAAACUCCACCACCCCUUUAUUGAUACCGAUGCAUAUGUAGCUAGUUCUGAUGUAAGUCUUGCUGGGUACAUUUGUACUCACGUUUGCCUAUUUUAUGUUUUGCAGAGAGACGUCAGUCUCGCUAGUAGUUCCGUGUGGACUUCGACGUUUAGCUUGAUACCUCAGCUACGAUCUUGUGCCCUCGGCAGGAUGUGGUAGAUAGUCAGGCUUCUCAGCCUUUUUCAUUUGUAGAUGUCUGUACUCAGACAUGUUAAGCUUCCGCAUGUGCUUUUACUUGUAUGCUCUGAAUGUUGGGUCAUGAUACCCAUGUUUGUAAUAUCUCGCUCCUCGGAGCCUAAUGAAUAAAUACUUGAGUCAUAGAGUUAUGUUGUGAUGCCAUGUUGUAUUUACACAUAUCGAGCAUAUUGUGUGUAUAAUUGAAAUGCUUGGUAUGUGUGGGAUCCGACAACCUAGUUGUUUAUCCUUGGUAGCCUCUCUUAUGGUGAAUGUAGUCUUGUGCUUCCAUGAGCCAUAGUAGUCCGCUACAGCCCGGUUCACCGGAGUCCUGCUAGCCCAGCACUACUGCUCCGGAACACUUGACUGGCCGGCAUGUGAUUCACUUCGUUCCUGUGUCUGUCCCUUCGGGGAAAUGUCACACGGUGACAUCCGGAGUCCUGCCUAGCCUGCUACAGCCCGGUUCAUCGGAGUCCUGCUAGCCCAGUGCUACAGCCCGGAUUCGCACGCUGCUGACCGACAUGCUCGUUGUUGAUUCAUGUAUGCCUGUCCCUGUAAGUUAGUGCCACUUUGGGUUCACGACUAGUCAUGUCGGCCCGGGUUCUCUGUCAUAUGGAUGCUAGCGACUCUAUCAUAUACGUGAGCCAAAAGGCGCAAACGGUCCCGGGCCAUGGUAAGGUGACACCCGUGGGAAUACCGUGCGUGAGGCAGCAAAGUGAUAUGAGGUGUUACCGGCUAGAUCGAUGUGACUUGGAAUCGGGGUCCUGAUAGUCUUUGGGGCAACUCUCCUCUUCUUCCUCUUCAUCCUCUUCUUCCGCACUAGCCUUCUUCAAAGCAAGGUUGGGCUUCUUUGAUCGUUGAUAACGCAACACCGCAUUAUCGAUGGUCUUGUCCAAGAUCCUCAUUGCAACAAACUCAUCCAACACUUCACUUGAGGACAAGGCAUGAAAGUCCGGCCUUUGACGGAUGACGGGGGACAUGGCCUUAUGGUAAGGCAUCAUGGCCUUGAGAAACUUGCGCUUGAUCCAAUUGUCAUCCGUAUCCUUGCUCCCAUUAUCUUGGAGUAAGACCGCGAGAGUGGUUAAUCUUCGGUAAAGCUCUCGAGGUUCUUCAUCUUCAGUCAUUGCAAACUCAUCAGCCUCAUCUUGCACCACUUCAAAGUUUGAGCGUUGAAUGCUUGCGCUUCCCUUGUACAAGGAAACAACAUGCUCCCAUGCUUCCUUGGCCAUGAUGAAAGGUCGGAGGUGCGCAAUAUCUUCAGGAGGAAUGGCUUCUUGGAGAAUGAAGAGCAGACUCGUUGAAUUGAUGAUCUGCGGCUUCUCUAGGAGUGAAGUUGCUUGGGUCGUGCGGGUAGAAACCUUGCUCAAUAAUUCUCCAAAGAUUAGUAGAACUAUGAUUUAAAUGACGUUUAAAGCGAUACACCCAAUAGGCAAAAUCCUCAUUUUUCACAAGCUUAGGAGGAGGACCAACAUGAUUCAUAUGCGUGGAGGGAACCGGUCCUCCAUAGGUAAGGGGUGGUUCAACAUGGGCAAUGAUGCCACUCCCACUUCUACCACUAGGCAAAGGAACUUGAUCACUACUAGCUUCCCCCUUUUUGGAGUUAGCAUCCGCCACCUUGUUAGUGGGAUCAACCACUUCCAACGGUGCGGUGGAUGAUUUAAGGUCUUCAAGAAACUCCUUAAACAUGACUUUAACCUCGGCCGUCAUGGAGGUUUUCAAUGUGUCCAAAGCUGCACUGAACUCCUCACGAGAGAUCGAGGAUCCCCCAUCGGCCGUAGACAAGGACAGACUCACACCGGGGUGCUCCCCCCUUGUCUACGGUGUCACCCAUACUCUUCGGACGGUAAAGUCCUUAAUAAAGAGACCAGGCUCUGAUACUAAUUGAAAGGAUCGAUAUGGUUGACUAGAGGAGGGGGUGAAUAGGCAACUAACAAUUUUUUGCUUUUCUUGACCAAAUUAAACUUAGCAUCAAAAUAGGUUGUCUAGAUGUGCAACUAGGUGAGCAACCUGUAUGAUGCAACAACAACAAACAUAGAAGCAAGCAAGGGAUACAACACAAUAAAAGCUUGCACAAGCAGGGGCGGAGCCUGAAAUUUUGGCCAUUGGGUUCACUCCAUGACUCAUUAUGAGAACUUAGUGCUAAUAUGUGAAAUGUAAAGUCUAAUUUUAAAUUAUCUUACAACAAAAUUAUAGCACCCAAAAACAGUAUAAUUAAAGAACACAUUCUGUUGCAUUUAAAAACUAAAGAAUGCAAGACAUAUGGGUUCACUAAAAUUAUAAAAUCACCUGCUUACAAAUUAUAAAUAGAGUAGUAUCGAAUAACUUUGUAGCUCUAGACGUAGCUCCUCGUCUUCCUGGCACAUUGAGAAAAUGACAAGUUAGUUUGAAAAAUUUAGAAUAAGUACUAUCAAGUGAAAGAAUCUUGUAAAGGCACUAACAUUUUAGAGUGACCCCUUUCGAUCCUUCAUCGCCUUAAAAAGAUUAAACGUUGCAUCAUUGUUAAUGGUAGAAAAUAUAUCUUUCUCCACAUCGCAAAGUAAACAUUAGAUUAAAUCUCCGUUGAGUAUCUCCAAUCUCCCUCUGUGGGCAAUCAAAAUUAGACGCUGUCCUGUAAGGUCCCCUCGCUAAAUUACGCCUAAUCUUGUCUUGCUUCUUUGAAUUUCUUCUGUGCUGUGUAAUUCUCUUCCAAUCAACCGAAUCAUAAGGCAACUCAUCUAAGAUAAUUUAUGUAUGAAUACUAGCGUUCGGAUGACUAGACAUUUGAUGGACUUAGCCUGCAUUUAACGGGUGACCUUGAUGUGCCUGUAUCAUUCUCUCAAUCUAGUGACCGAGUUUUCUUCAAAAUAAUACCACUCCAUUGCCUAGAUGAAUCAAAGUCCAUGAAAAACAAAUCAAAAAACUAGGGCAAAAAAUCACUAUCGCACUAGGCUAUUAAGCUAGAUAGAACAUACACAAAAGAGAGGAGAUGAGGCAAUGUAAUCUAAUUACCUUAAAUUUUAGGGUACAAUAUUGUUGUUGUCGAUCUGCCUGCGGCCGGCCGAGAGGCGGCGUCGCAGCAGGCACACGGAUAGACGAGAGGAGAGAUGCGAAUUGGAAAAGGAAAAGACGACGAGGCGUGCGGCCACAUAUGUGACUAAUCACGGUGAUUAAUUACGGCAGGACUCCUCGUGGGCUGUUCAUUUUUUGGGCCCUUUGUUUACUCGCUCACGUCACAACCUUUCGUUGAUGGGUUUAGUCACAAUUUUUUAAUGGGUUCAUGCCAAGUAAAUAUGCACCUGCAUGCACGUAAAUAGCAUAAUCCGCUGGGUUCAGUUGAACCCCACGCUUGUACGUUGGCUCCGCCGCUGUGCACAAGUAAAAGUAAGAGAUAACCAAGAGUGGAGCCGGUGGAGAUGAGGAUGUGUUACCGAAGUUCCUUCCCUUUGAGAGGAAGUGCGUCUCCGUUGGAGCGGUGUGGAGGCACAAUGCUCCCCAAGAAGCCACUAGGGCCACCGUAUUCUCCUCACGCCCUCACACAAUGCGAGAUGCCGUGAUUCCACUAUUGGUGCCCUUGAAGGCGGCGACCGAACCUUUACAAACAAGGUUGAGGCUAUCUCCACAACUUAAUUGGAGGCUCCCAACGACACCACGAAGCUUCACCACAAUGGAAUAUGGCUUCGCGGUGACCUCACCCAAGAGUAACAAGAUCCGCAAGGGAUUAGUGGGGGAAUCAAAUUUCUCUUGGUGGAAGUGUAGAUCGGGGCCUUCUUAACCAAUCCCUAGAAAAUCAAUAAGUUUGAUUGGCUAGGGAGAGAGAUCGGGUGAAAAUGGAGGUUUGAGCAACAAUGGAGUUUGGGGAGGGAAGAGGUGGUCUUCUUGGGGAAGAUGACCCCCUUUAUAUAGUGGGGGAAAAGAUCCAACCGUUAUCCCCUCACUCAGCCCGCGCGGCGCGGUACUACUGCACACAGUCGCGGUACUACCGCAAAGGGUUGCGGUACUACCGCUGCAGGGUGCGGUACUACCGCUUGCACAAUAGUGACCAGACGAGGGCCUGUUGCACAGGGCAACACGCGGUAGAACCGCCGGAGCGGUACUACCGCGCGCCCCUACGGUACUACCGUAAGGCAGGGCUCAACUGGCGCUGGAAAUGCACGGAAGUAAUAAAUUACCUCCGUAACUACUUCCGCUGAGUUUGGAGCUGUACAAAAAUCCGGCAUGGUACUACCGCUCACAGGGAGCGGUACUACCGCGUAAGGGCGGAAGUAAAAAAUUAUAUCCGCACCUACUACUGCGUGCGUCAGCAUCAGAGCUGGAGGCAGCGGUACUACCGCUCACCAAGAGCGGUACUACUGCUCCCUUGAGCAGUACUAUCGCACGCCACAAACGCUUUAGCAUUUGGCAGCCUUCAUAUCGCAGAGACAUGGAUAAACGGACGGUGCUCCAUCGAAGCGAAGGAAAGACGGUGCAAAGGAACAGAUGUGUACGUGUUGAUUCCACCCUAACUUUUUCGAAGCGGACAUCCUCUUAAUAGUACGUCUUUCCUACGACUCAAAUCCACCGAAAAGAAGCGUGGAGAACAACCGUCUUCGAUAGGCUCCGAGGGCACCGAAUCGUCUUGUGCCUAGACAUGAGAUAUCUGAAAUGCUCAAUGCACACGAUUAGUCCGCAAAUGCAUUAUCACCAAUCACCAAAACCACUUAGGAAGAAAUAUGCCCUUACAAACAAUUUAUAUGAAAUACCGAUAACAUAACAAUGAAGACAUCUCUUUGUAAAUCAUAAAGUUGGGUCUAUCUAACUCCAUUGUUAGCAUGAAAACGGUGUUCUCAUGUAUUGUUAGCAUCCUUGUUACACUCACAAUGCUCAUUAUCAGGAAAACAAGAUCAUCAUCAUACAUGAGCUAGUCAUAGAGGCUAGACCAGGGAUCAAUUGAUAUUUAUAUUAUCACACAUGUAUUUGAGUAUUACUCUGAAUCUCAUAUUCAAGAACCAAUACAACUGUAGCACAAAAACAUAAACUUAAUAAUGAACAUGAAAAAUAUAAUAAUAUAUGUAUUAUUGCAUGUAGGGCAUAUUUUCAACAACGUAUCGCCGGAGCACGGUACAUAUAGCCGCUGCGAGGCGAGGCGAACAAACGACCAGUCCAAUUCAAUGCAGCACAACGACCAAAGUAGGUUCUUGGGACGACACGUCCGCAUUGAAGCGGCGAUGCCCGUCUGAUCGCGUUGGUCAGCGCCGCCCUCCCGUCCGGUCACAUCACGCGGCAUCAGUGUCAAGCGCUCUAGGCCGACAUGAAUGCGGCGUGGGAAGCGACGCGUCCAUUGGCAAGAAAGCACGGGAAAGCAUUCUGGGUGGGGUCAGGUUGUCAUACGUGUGUGUGAAAGUGGUCUGGACAUCCGCAAAGCCCCUCUGGUUUGCUUCCGGUUUACGAGAAAAAGGAUGCCCGGCCGGUCCGCGGACGGAUGUGAGACCGUAUUGGAUGGCAAAACAUGUCCGGACCGCGUGGUCCAGACGAAUGCGGAGGUUCGAGGGUCCAUGUUGGAGAUGCCCUUAAACUCUUCAUUAAAACAAUGAAAACCAGUAUUUUUUUGAAAAUAACCCCACUUCAACCCAUUGACUCUAUGUAAUUAUUUUAUUUGGCUUUAUUAUCGACUGUUACCACUAUAAAAUUCGUUAAACAUAAUCUCAUCUCUUUGGAUUUUGACUUCCCAUUUAUUAUAUUUUACUAUACAUGCUCACAUCACAAAAUGCUUGAUUUCCACAAAUUAUAGUAAGAGAACCCCCUCCCUCCCCCCACCCCACACACUUUUAGGAGGAAGUUCCCACUUUUUUUUAUUUUGCUAACCACGUGUCCCGGUCCCACUUUCAAUCCUUCUUUCAUCCGGUUGAUAUUCUUGUGAAGAACAACACAUGGUUACCACCUCCGUCAAGAUGGCCUCUAACAAAAACCAACGGCUCUUUGCUAGCUCGGGUGACAACGUGGAACAAGAGAAGAUGCAUGACGACUUAAGAUGCCUAGGGGAGCAGUGUUGAAAGAGGUCCUUUUUCAUGGGCACACUCGUGCAUGUGCAGUCUGCACACGUAGCAACUCAAUGUAUUUUUCUUUUGCAAAUGAACUCGAUGAAAAUUCAAAAAAGAAAAGAAAUGGAGCACAGAGAACAAUGGUCGAAAAACUAACGAUACAUGAGACACGGGGAAUAGCAAGAAAAUGCUGUCGAUUGUAAACGGGAAAUCAUACUCCCAUCAAAAUUUCGUUCUUUUCAGGGGCGGGACAUGACGCGAGCCUCGAGAGAAAAGAAAAACAGGUCUGGUCGAACGCGUGCCGUUUCUCGGUCGUUGGUUCGUGUACCCCGGCCCGAGUCCCUCGGCGCAGGCACACUCGCUCACGCACGCACGCACACGGCACGAGCUUCAGCUCACGCCGAGGCAGUCGCGCACACACCAACCAAGCACUAGUCAGCAACGCAGCCCACCCAAGUUGACAAACGUCACUCCCUUGUCUCCCCCACCCAGCAGCUCCCGUCUCCCCCUCUCGCUCUCGCUCACGCUCACGACACAGGUCCGCACAGCCGCACGGAGACGAAUCGAAUCGAAGCCCGAGCGGAGGACAGGCGAGGCCGUACCUAGGGUUUCGCUCGCCGGCGAGGAUCCCGACGCAGCGCCGCCGGAGGCGGCGCCUCCGCUGAGGUAACCGCCCCUCUGUUCCGGGCACCCUCCACGCCGCUGGGUCUAGUCGAGCUCAAGCUAGGGUUUCCGCGACGGAAUUCCGGGGGGUUUUCGGCGGGGUUCGCCGGAUCUGGAGGGGCUCGGGGGGCCGAUUGGGAGCGCUCCUCGCGGGAAUUGCGGGCUCCGGAGGCGCCGCAUUGGCGGGGGUUGGUGGGGGGUGGAAUUGGGGACGCUUCCUGCGCGUAGUGCUUGUGGCGUACGCCACGGGAUUCCACUUUCCGGGGAGCUUGUAUGCAUGUACGAGGCGAAUGUUGAAGGUUUUACAUAGGGGUUUUGGGUUGCGGUGGCUGCUCUACCUCUCCCCGGAGGGAGCCUGGAGUGAUGCCGCCUGCUUAGGAGCUUAGGAGCACCGCGUUGCUGCAUGUGAUGCUUUAGUUGCCGUCUGGAGUGGUGUUGAUUUGGUGGCCAUUUGGGGGACUUUGUAGCAAAUGACUUGGUUAAAUUUAGUUGUCUCUACAGCCUAGACACACUGGGUAUAGACAUUAGGCUGGUACUGCUUCAGAUAUAGCGUGGAUAAGGUGAUCCGGGCAACGGUUGGAUUUGGCGCGUUUUGUAUGUAUCUUUGAAUUUGCGAGACGUAUCUCUUUCCAUUUUUGCUUGCCGGGCAACGGUUGGAUUUGGCGCCUACAUGACUGAUGUGUUAAAAGAUAUUAAUAUCCCGAAUAUUCGGUGUAGCUUAGUUCUUGGUGAUUUAGGCUAAGCCUCUGAUUUUGGUAAUUCUGCAUUAAUGAGUAAUUUUUGGUUGGACUGCUGAACUGGAUGUGCUUCAAUACAUUUUAGAAGCGAAUUUCCGUUGGGGUCAAUUAGAAGAUUCACUGUAGUGAUCAAAUGUAGUACGCGAUGUUAAUGGGUUAACUCCAGUUCAUUGAUUGGACUUCACUGAUAGGCAGCAAUUGGUCCUGUGAUACUGUAUUUGUUAUGUUUGAUGGAAUUGGGAUUACUUUAGGUGAUGACGUUACUACUGGUCCUAGCGCUAUUUUUAUUUUAUUGAAUUUUUGGCACUAUUCUCACGGAUCUAGACUUAGUCUUCACCCGAUUGGAGUCGGACAAGUGAGCUGUCCUACUAAUCGUCGGGAUUUUCAUUGGUUCAUAAUGGUGCUGCUUAAGGGGCAAUCAUUUAUUGGAUGUGCGCUACCGUUUCGCUUUUCUAGCUGUCACAUAACGGACUCCUUAAAAUGAUGUUGAAAUAUUAUUUUCCGUUCUUGAUGCUUUUCUGGUUUACUAAUGAAAUCCUGAAGUCAUGUCGAUAUUGUGACUUUGAGGCUGCGAUGGUAUUGUUUGGUAUUCCUACAUAUGCAUCACCUUGUCUCUAUGUGAAGUUGUGCUAGCGUAGGGCAGCAUGGUGAGACAAAAUUUAUUCUAUGGGCUGUGAUUGAAUACACUUGAGUGACGUGUAGUAAACACUAAACCUGUAUACUCGAGUGACAUGUAGUUAUUUUUGGCAUUGUAAUUUCUAAUUAUUGGAUUUAUCAUGUUCUACUUGUUUGGCAGGUUUCUUCGGGCUUGUACCCAUGCUUUCAGCUUUCAGAAGGUGAUUGUAGAGGGGGAGGAUGGAAGAGGAGGAACAUCGUGGAGUUGUUCUGGUAUGCAGCGUCUGUGGGUUCCUCUUCGCUGUCCUUGGCCCACUCAGCUUUUGGAUUCUAUGGGCUGUGAAUUGGAGGCCAUGGAGGUUAUAUAGGUAUGCUGGUGAUUGAAUAUACUUUUUUGCGAGGAUUAUGCUUUUAUUUGCAUGUAUCAUUUGUUUGGUUCUUACUUGGGAUUAACUAAUAACCUGCUAUGUUAAAUUCGUUGUUUGUGCGCUCUAUUUUUUCCUAUUCAAAUUCCAUGCAUUUUAUCUUUGUGUACCAUUGAAUGUUGCCAUUGAUAUAAAGCUUGACGCACCAGUCUAAUCACAUGCAUCAUACGCAAAGUAGCCCCCCGGCCCUCUCCCCAAUUAUUCUUUACCUCACUGUGAUAUUUCUAAUGUUUUUACGAGUAUCCAGCUAGUAGUUUGGUUGUUACAUUUGCAGAUAUUUCACUCAAUAAGAAUCAUUUUUAUCCUAUUGAUAUCAAGACAGCAAAGUAGGUAGGUUUGGUAUCAGUAACACACUAGCGCAUGAAACUAUUCUUGCAAUUCUAUUAUAUUUCCAUUCUAGCUUCAUACUUUCUGAUUACUUAAAGCCUGCUGUCCAUGCAUGGAGUAGUGUUUUUUUCUUUCUGAUCCUGUGUUUGUGGCAAGUAGCGGAUGGGCAAAUAUGCAUCCUUAUUUAGGCUCAUUGUGUUCACAGUGCAUUGACUUCUGGUUUCACUUGUUUGGCUUUCCUAGUUAGGUGUUAAUCUUUUUCAUCCUAUUUUCUUAUUCAGCUGGAUAUACGCAAGGAAAUGGCCAGCCUAUGCGCAAGGACCUCAGCUAAGCACACUCUGCAGCUUUUUGACCCUUUUUGCAUGGCUUGUCGUCAUUUCCCCUAUAGCCGUUCUGCUAGUGUGGGGAAGCAUCCUUAUUGCUCUUAUGGAAAGGAACAUAACUGGUUUAGCUGUUAUAAUGGUUGGCGUUGCUUUGCUUCUAUCAUUCUACUCUAUAAUGCUCUGGUGGAGAACACAAUGGCAAAGCUCAAGUAUGUUUUCAAUCCUUUGUGUUGAUUUUAUAAAUUGGCAUUUCUUCCAGAAUUUUUGCCCAUGUAGUUCUCAUUCCUUUUCCAAACGUCAUCAUGCUUGAGUACGGUUGCUCCUGAAAUGCAUUGGAUUUUUGGUGGGCGUUAUAAUUAUCUCUCUAGAACAUGAAUAAACCCUCUGUCUUCUGGCUAUAAAUAAACACUCAAUUCUUUUUAGACACUGAUAAUAAUUCAAUGUUACUUGCCCCCCAUAUAUUUGCCAUGACAUGGCGUUUUGUACUUCUGUAUCCAAUUUGCAUGGUGUUUGGUCCCGACAUCUAGCAUUCUACCCACAAUAAUUGGCCAUACAACCGUGAUUAUUUCAUGUCAAAAUUUCUUCCAGAAGGACCUGACUAGUCACAUUAGAAAAUAAAGAUACUAUGGGAAUUAUUUCAAAACAUGUUUGACAUAAAAGUUUUUAGAUCAUCACAACCAAAGUGUGGCUAAAUCACUUUCGUAGCUAACCACAUUGUGCCUAAGCUAAGUUAGCCGUGAACCAAACGGGCGGCUUGCAUAAAGAGAAGUUCUAAAUCCCUGUGGACCGUGGAGGUUCAAAAUGUUAUCAGCCGUCUCAUCUAAAAAAGUUGCAGCAGUACUUGUUCCAGGAUUUCUUCACUUUGUUUUGUAUUAGAUGUUUCUGCUAUUGGGUCAAUACUAUCUUUUUGUCCUUUAGUGAGCUGAGACACUGUUUUCUUUUCGCUUGAUCUAUUAAAGAUAUUAACAAAUGGAAAUCCCUGUGGGCUGUGGAGGUUCAAAAUGUUAUCGGCCGUUUCAUCUAAAAAUUGUUCCAUCAUUUCUUCACUUUGUUUUGUAUUAGUUGUUUCUACUAUCGGGUCAAUCAACUAUCUGUUUGUCCUUUAGUGAGCUUUUUGGUUGAUCUGUUAACAAUAUUAACAUAUGGAUUGUUUGUUGCAGAGGCUGUUGCUUAUCUUCUCCUCUUGGCAGUAGGUCUGCUGUGUGCCUAUGAAUUUUGUGCUGUUUAUGUCACAGCCGGUGCUAGUGCUACUGAGAUCAAUUCUCCAUCUGGAUUCUUCUUUGGAUUAUCUGCAAUAUCAUUGGCCAUCAAUAUGCUCUUUAUAUGUAAAAUACUGUUUAAUGGUAAAGCCACUCUUCUCUCAGCUUAGUUGAGCCUUAUCUUAAUAUAAAAAUUUAUGAAACUUUUGAAAUUCCAUACAUAUUAUCUGCAGGAAGUGGAUUCGAUGUUGAUGAAUACGUCCGGAGGUCGUACAAGUUUGCAUAUUCUGAUUGUGUUGAAGUGGCCCCUGUCUCAUGCUCCCCUGACCCCCCGGAUCCUAGUGAGUUAUACAUGACAAAAUCCAGCAGGUGAGUCCAGCAUUUUAUAUUCUCAAAAUAUCUUUUACUAACUUAACUAAACUGCGGUAUACCAGCUUCAGUAAGUUUUAUGAUGUUCACUUGGCUAAUCUAUUUUUCUUUCAAAUUUACUAAGAUGAUGAGUUAAAAAUGCAGGGUGUUGCAUCUAGGGCUUCUCUACCUUUGCUCCCUGGUUGUGCUUGUUGUCUAUUCCAUCUUGUAUGGUGUGACAUCAAAAGAAGCACGUUGGUUGGGCGCUUUAACUUCAGUUGCUGUAGUGAUUCUUGGUAAUGCUUUUUCUGUGGACUAUCGAUUGUUUGUGCUCUGUAUCUGUUUCUUUGACAUCCUGGUUUUCUGUUGUACAGACUGGAAUUUGGGCUUGUGUUCAUUCAGGUUUGAGCUUCUUAAAAGUCGGACGCUAGCGUUAUUUGUGGCUGGAACAUCGCGCGUUUUUCUCAUAUGCUUUGGGGUUCAUUACUGGUUUGUAUUCAUCUUUGUGCUUCUUUAGUUGAUCAUAUUUAAGUCCUAGUACUUCUUCCUACUUACUGACUAAGGUAUUAAAUUAGGUACCUUGGACAUUGCAUUAGCUAUGCUUUUGUGGCAUCUGUUCUUUUAGCUGCUGCUGUCUCUGGCUGGCUUUCUAUUUCCAACCCCUCAGUUGCAAGGAUUGAUGCACUAAGAAGUACAGUUAUAAAGCUGCGAGAAGGAUUUCGAAGAAAAGGACAAAAUAGUUCUUCAAAUUCAUCAGAAGGUUGCGGAUCUAGUGUGAAGCGUAGUAGUGGUAGUGUUGAAGCAUGUCAACAUGGUAACACUACCGAUUCUAUUUACAGAAGUAAUUCACAGAGUGAUGGGGUCCAUUGGAAUAGUGUUCCUUUUGAUCGAUCCAACAGUUGUCAAGAAGGCAGAAGCUCUGACAAGAACAUAGAUAGUGGACGUGCAAGUUUAGCACAUCGCAGUAAUUCGUGCCUUUCUGCUGUCCAAGACUCUGAAACUGCGAUCAUUUCUGCAGAUAGACAUGGGGAUACCACUGCUUCACUUGUUGUUUGUUCUAGCAGCGGUUUGGAAAGUCAAUGCUGCGGGUCUAGUGGAUCAGCCACUGCCUCGGGUAAUCAGCAACUGUUGGAUUCGAGCUUAGCUGCAAUUUUUCAAGACAGGCUGAAUGACCCAAAGAUCACAUCUAUGCUAAAAAGGAAUGGUGGACUUGGAGAUGUGGAACUGGCUAAUCUUCUACAUGAUAAAGGCCUGGAUCCUAAUUUUUCUUACAUGUUGAAAGAUAAGGUUAUGGAUCCACGGAUUUUAGCUUUGCUACAGAGAAGCAGCCUAGAUGCAGACCGGGAACAUCAAGAUGAUGCAGAUGCUACUGCUACUGAGGAAUUGGAUACGACUAUUGCAAACCAGAUCUCUUUGUCAGAAGAACUCAGGAGAAACGGGCUAGAAAAUUGGCUGAACAUUUCAAGACUGAUUUUUCAUCAAGUGGCUGGUACUCCAAUACGGUCCUUUGUUGUAUUUACCCUAAUAUUUAUUGUAGAGACAGUUACUGUUGCUGUCCAUCGACCAGAGCCCAUCAAGGUGAUAAAUGCAAUACAUGAACAGGUAAUAUUUGUCGCAGAAGCACUAUAGCAGCUUUGAAAGAUUGAUUUAACAUUGAUAAAAAAUGUGAUAGUUUCCCCCCCUUUAUUUGGCAGUUUGAGUUUGGUUUCUCCAUACUGCUUUUAUCACCAGUCGUCUGUUCCAUCAUGGCAUUCACAUGGUCCCUGCAUGCGGAAGAGAUGAUGAUGACAUCCAAACCACAGAAGGUGAUUAGUGAUAUACAACAAGAGAACUUUUCAUUCUUUAGUACCAAUUAUCAUGCCAUGUCAGAUUAUAACCGUCAUACUAAUACGAGGUUCUUAUCACCAUAUCAGAACAAGUACUUUGUACUAUUUCUGUUUUAAAACUUACCAUGAGCCAGAUGCUAUGUAAUGCAAAAGGAAUAUGAUGCUAGAGGCAAAUUGAAAUGCUGUGCAAGAAUUUUAGCAAUACAUGUGCGUGCCUCUGGAUAACUCUGGGUAUCUUUACUAGACAUGCUUUAGUGCAUCAAACUCUCUUAUGUAAAGGCCAUCUGUGCUUAUCUUUCGAAAACAAAUAAAUAUGUGCUCACAUUGCACUGAGUAUGCUGGGUCUGUCCUUUUAUUGCACUGAGUAUGCCGUUAUGUUGCUUAAUUUUACUUGAAAUGCAACUUCAUUCUCAGCUAUAAUGACUUGCCAUUGUUUUCCACAUCUUCAGUAUGGCUUCAUCGCGUGGCUGCUGAGUACAUGUGUUGGCUUACUUCUCUCUUUCUUGAGGUACACUCACUGCUUAAUAUCUGAAAUAUCAGUAACUAUUAUAAUUUUAACCAUAUGCAAUACUGCUAAUUAAUUUCUGUGCCUGUUUAUUUUCACUUAAGACUAAAUAUUUUCAGUAUAAAAUGAUAAUAUGAACAUCAUGCUAGUCAUAACCAUUUGUUCCACAUAUGGUUUUAAGGGCACUUUAUUAUUUAUAUACGUUUCAUACAUCAUUUCUUCAAAUGGCUUCUUCUGUACAAGAGGAUCAUUUGUGUAUGUGAUUUCUCUUAAAGAAACUUAUGGCUCUUUAUACUUGCGGAAGGGAUUAGUGUAUACUAGAAAUCCUGAGUGCGCCAUCCUCAGUUGGCAAGUGACGUGACCUAUGUCUAUUAGUUGUGUUACAUGCAUGUUUCACUUUAGGUGGCAUGAGGUGAUGAUACAUGCUCAAAAAUAGAUCUCCACUUUGUUUCUAUGUAUAUCAAUUUACAUCCGGUUCUACUAUGAGGUGCUUUAUCCUGUAGGAUGUUAGAGAAAUACAGAUCCGAAUUUUCGCGCUCCAGUUAUCCAGUGAGCUAAGAUAUAAUGCAAUAAAACAUGAUUCAAGCAAGUACAAUAAUUAUACGGGAUUAAGCAUUAGGCUAGCACACAGACACCCUUAACAAAGUCUAAUGGUGGUGUCACUGCUGAAGGUUUUCUAUUGUUUGUCAGUUUGUCUUAGGAUGAGCUUCAUUAUGUGAUUGAUUAACUAAAUUUAUUUUGGGUGCAAUGUGCAAGACUAAAGCUUUAGGUUGACUGCUAUAUUUUAGCUGGGUAAUGAUGAUGGCUUGACAUAUUCAAAAUCCGCUGUCUAUAGUCAAAACCUGUCUUACACAUAGACUCUGUGGCAGCUAGAUAUCUUCAAUGAGAAAUUCCUAUUUUCAUUGGUGAAAUGUAUCCUUUUUUGGUUCUGAAUGUUACCUAUGCUAUUCUGCAGCAAGUCAUCAGUUAUAUUGGGUUUGUCUCUCACGGUCCCACUUAUGGUGGCUUGCCUCUCAUUUGCUAUUCCUAUAUGGAUGCGUAAUGGUUAUCGUUUCUGGAUUCCGGGAGGGGAACUUGAUAAUCGUGAAAAUAUUCGUCAAUCUCCAGGGAAGAAAGAGGUUUGUUUCUCGUAUCUUCUUAAAAUUUAGCAAUGGGUAUUAUUUAUAUAUGUGCUAACCAACAUGCAACGUUCAUCUAUCUAAGCUCUUUGCAUACCUGUACUUAUAGUGUAUGCCACACCCUGACCCAGCUUCGUGUUAUGUCCUGAGCUGUAGUUUUAUUGCAUGCAACAUGUUCUGCAGUAUAUAUAUCCAAACAUGAACAAUUUUUUGUCCUAUUUUACAGUAUUACUCCCUCUGUAUCAUAUUAAUUGUCGCUCAAACGGAUGUAUCUAGCACUGAAAUGCAUCUAGAUACAUCCAUUUCAGCGGCAACUAAUAUGGGACGGAGGGAGUAUUAUUAUUCUAGAUACCUUCCAGUCCAACAAUGGUAUUUGAAAUUAUGUUCAUGUUGCUCAUUAUUAGUCUUUUGUUGUCAGGGGACUCUCUUCGCAAUCAGCAUAGUUGUUUUCAUUGCAUCAGUUAUUGGCCUUGGUGCAAUAGUAUCAGCGAAACCUUUAGAUGCUUUGGGCUACAGAGGAUGGGACGCUGAUAAAAAGAGUUUUUACUCUCCCUAUGCAACAUCUAUGUAUCUUGGAUGGGCAUUAUCUUCCACAAUUGCGGUGCUUGUUACUGGGGUGAUACCUAUUGUUGCUUGGUUCGCCACAUACCGAUUUUCGCCUUCAUCGGCCAUAUGUGUUGGCCUUUUCGCAAGUAUGUCGUACUUGAUCUUUUCUCAAUUUGAUAUUGAAGCUGAUGCUUUCAGAUAUAACUGACUCCUGAGUUGUUACUUUUUGUAGCUGUUCUUGUAUCCUUCUGCGGUGCAUCCUAUUGGGGAGUUGUAAAUUCACGUGAGGACGGGAUUCCUCUUAAGGCUGAUUUCCUGGCAGCACUACUCCCCUUACUUUGCAUUCCUGCAAUGUUUGCUCUGUUCACUGGGCUGUAUAAAUGGUAUAAAGUCCACCUGUAGCAUUUUCAUUUCUACUCAUAUUUUUGUUGUGCUGAGAUGAAACGCACAAAAUUGCAGGAAGGAUGAUGAUUGGAAGAUCUCCCGAGGAGUUUACCUUUUCGUCGGCAUGGGAAUGUUGCUAUUGCUUGGUGCUAUAGCAGCAAUUAUUGUCACAAUUAGACCUUGGACUGUAAGUUAACCUAAAUCAUGGAGAAAUCUUCAUAUACAUGUUUAAUUCAUCUGUGUAUAAGUUAUAACGGAGUAUAAUUGACAUGCCAUCUUUAUACAGGUCGGAGUCGCAUGCCUCCUAGUUAUCCUGUUCCUCGUAUUUGCUAUUGGGGUCAUUCACUACUGGAAAUCUAAUAACUUCUAUUUAACAAGAACACAGAUGCUACUUGUCCGUUCCCUUGCUUUUCUCCUCGUGCUGGCUGCCUUCCUUAUGGGUCUGUUUCAGGGUGAGUACAGGUUCUCCCUUCGCUGUCUUCCAUUCUGCUUUCACUAGUUUAGCGGUUUGGUGCACUGUACUACUGUCAUCAUUUCAUAUUAAAUGUGAAUAUCUUUUACAGGCAAACCUUUUCUUGGAGCAUCUAUUGGUUAUUUCUCAUUUCUGUUUCUUCUCACUGGAAGGGCUUUGACUGUAAGUUUGAUUUAUGUUACUUACUUGCAUAACUAUUAGCCAUCAGAUGCUAGUUUUGAUGUUUGCUGAUCAUCUCGUAACACUGAAUGAAUAUAACCUUCUCAGGUCCUUCUAUCUCCACCAAUUGUUGUUUAUUCACCACGGGUAUUACCCGUAUAUGUUUAUGAUGCUCAUGCAGACUCUGCCAAAAAUGUUAGGUAUGGCAAACAACCUUCAUACCAUAACCUUCUGAGAUGAACCUAAUCUUUCUUAUGUUCAGUAUUGAUCAUAAUUUAUUUUUGUUUCUGUUGUGUCCUAUCCUAUAAGUGCUGUUGUCAUCUGAUAAAAUACCCUAACACCACUCUCUUUACAGUUACGCCUUCCUUAUCUUGUAUGGGAUUGCAUUGGCAACUGAAGUUUGGGGUGUUAUCGCCAGUCAAAUAAUGAAUCCACCGUUUGUUGGGGCUGCUAUUUGUGCUAGCACUCUUGUAAUUGCCUUCAGUUUCGCUGUUUCUCGUCCAUGCCUAACUCUUAAGGUUGGUACUUUUGUACAGUAUAAGCAAACACUGAACAUUCUUUGUUUUUGUCCUUUUUUCAUCUGUCCAUGUAAUAAUCUCUAUGAAACUUGAAUCAGAUGAUGGAGGAUGCCAUUCAUUUUCUCAGCAAGGACACAGUUAUUCAAGCAAUGUCACGGUCUGCUAACAAAGUAAGUCGAUUUAUAUCCUACUAUGAAGAUGCUACUUAACAAACUACUGAUUUGAAAACUGGUCAAUAUAGCAAUUUUUUUUCUGCAUACCACUGUUAAGCCUGUCUGAACCAUCAUUUCCACUUUCUUUUCGUUAACAACAUUUGUUGAGAACUAUCACCAAAUUUGUGCCUAGAUAGUGUGUAUUCUAUCCCGUUGCAUACCUUUCCUACCCGCGAACUUUCAGAAGUACAUAAAUGUUACCGAGAUGGCAUCCUUUUGUAAUUACGUGCCAAUAGUUCUUCCGAAGUAGGCAUGGUUAUCUAUCAGCUGUCAGUCUAGAUGAGAAUCUUGUUAGUGAGUCCACCAAUUUCCAGGAUAUGCACAUAACAAUAAGAGCACCAUAUAACAAUAUAAUAUUGUUGUUACUGUAUCAUUGACCAUAUGUUCUUUGUACAACUCAGACAAGAAAUGCUAUAUCCGGGACUUACUCAGCACCUCAGAGGUCCGCAAGUUCUGCUGCUCUUUUGGUGGGAGAUCCUGCUGUUACUCUGGAUAGGGCUGGGAACUUUGUGCUUCCUAGAGCUGAUGUUAUGAAACUGAGGGAUCGUUUGAGAAAUGAAGAAGUCACUACAGGAUCUUUCUUUUGUGGAGUAAAAAAUUGUUUCAUGGUUUGCCCUGGAUCCCCAGCAGACGUUGAUUAUCGGAGGAAUAUGUGUGCCCAUGCACGCAUCUUGGCUUUGGAAGAGGCAAUUGAUACUGAAUGGGUUUAUAUGUGGGACAAAUUUGGUGGUUAUUUGCUUCUGUUGCUUGGAUUGACUGCCAAAGCUGAACAAAUACAGGUAAACUCAAUAUUUUCUGCCAUUCUUGUCUCUCCCUAAUUCAUGAGCAUUUUUAAUGCUGUAUAUUUCUGUUUGUUUCAGGAUGAAGUUCGUCUUAGGCUAUUUUUGGACAGCAUAGGCCUUUCUGACUUAAGUGCUAAAGAAAUUAAGAAAUGGAUGCCUGAAGAUCGAAGGCAAUUUGAACUUAUUCAAGAAAGGUAAUAAGUGAUAUUUUUACAUGAUACCAUAGUUAUAUGUAGGGCUCCCUGGAAGUCAUGAGCUCAUCAUCAAAAUUUUGCUUUUAUUUGUGUCUGCAGCUACAUAAGGGAGAAAGAAAUGGAAGAGGAGGUCUUGAUGCAAAGGCGAGAGGAAGAAGGGAAGGGAAGGGAAAGAAGGAAGGCAUUGUUGGAGAAGGAGGAACGCAAAUGGAAGGAGCUCGAAAUAUCAUUGCUGUCUUCUAUACCUAAUGCUGGAAGCAGGGAUGCUGCGGCUAUGGCGGCAGCUGUCAGAGCUGUGGGAGGUGAUUCUGCUCUGGAAGACUCUUUUGCCAGGGACAGAGUCUCGUCAAUAGCCCUUCACAUACGAAAAGCACAAUUGGCACGACGAGCAGAGCAGGUGCUAUUCCCAUUAUACUUAUAUUUAUUUUUUAUGGUGCUAUACGCAAAAUAUGUACUUUUUGGGUGCACAAUUGCGGAGAGCCAUCCUUUGUGAGUUUAUUGAAUGUUUCGUGGUUCACCUUGAACUGGUAACCUGACAACACAACAGUUUAAUGACUUCAUGAUAAAAAAUAGCAUCUUUAAAUAAAUUAUAUAGCACAUGCUACAUGCACAUUUCCUUUAGUUACAGUUCCUGCUGAUACUACCUAGAUACCCUAUACUGUUGUGAACUGUUGAAUAGACUAGCAUUCCUGUUCUUGCUGAUACUAUUUAGAUAUCUGACAUUGUUAUGAACUGGUGAACAGACUAGCAUUCCAGGUGCUGUAUGUGUACUUGAUGAUGAACCAAGGAGUACCGGACGCCAUUGUGGAGAAAUUGACCUGUGUCUUUGUCAAAGUCAAAGAGUGAGCUUCUCCAUUGCAGUAAUGGUUCAACCGGUAUCUGGUCCAGUCUGUCUUUUCGGAACCGAAUUUGAGAAGAAGGUUUGCUGGGAAAUCUUGGUGGCAGGGUCAGAACAGGGAAUGGAAGCGGGGCAGGUUGGUCUUAGAUUAGUAACUAAGGGUGAAAGGAUGACCACUGUUGCUAAAGAGUGGAAUAUUGGUGCGUCAAGUAUUGCAGAUGGCAGGUAUGAACUUUCACCACUUUUAUAUUUUGUGUGGAAACAAAAGAAAAUCAAAAGCAGCUAACCUGUUCAACUUUUCCUUGCCACUGCAGUGACCGCAAGCAUUUACUGUCUGUUACAGACUUACCGUGUUGUUUUUCUGUGGGGUUCCACCUUUUCUUCUACUAGUAUCUGUAUAGAAAGAAUGUAAAUCUUAACAUCUGUGGUUCAGACCAGACCUGUUAACUCCUGCUACAUUAUUAGUGGUUUUCCCCUAUAUAGUGUUGCUUUAGUUGUAAUGUUUUCAAUGAAUAAGUAGGCGGUAGUUCCACUGAAAAAUCUUUUGAUGCAGAUUUAGUUUCCUCUACUUUCUUUUACUAGUUGUCUCAUAGUCGCCGAUUUGAUUUUGCAGGUGGCAUAUCGUCACAGUGACUAUAGAUGCUGACCUAGGUGAAGCAACUUCUUUCAUAGAUGGAGUUUAUGAUGGAUAUCAGAAUGGAUUACCGUUGCCUAGAAACAACGGCGUAUGGGAACCUGGGGCAGAUAUUUGGGUUGGUGCGCGGCCACCCACAGACUUGGAUGCCUUUGGUAGGUCAGACAGUGAAGGUACAGACUCAAAGAUGCAGAUAAUGGAUGCUUUCUUAUGGGGAAGGUGUCUGACUGAAGAUGAGAUUGCUGCGCUAUAUACAACCAUGAGUCCUGCGGAGUAUGGCUUUUUUGACCUUGCAGCUGAAGAUGCUUGGCAUGGAAGCUAUUCUGCUAGGGUAUAUUCUAGUUUCUAAUUCUUUAUUUGUACCCUUUUGUAAUGUCAUGAUUUUGAAGGUAAUAUGAAAUUACAAAUGACAUUUUCUUAAAUUUACUGUAUUUUCAUUCAGGUGGAUGACUGGGAGAGUGAAGAAGCAAACUAUGAGCUAUAUGAUCAAGAGGAUGUUGAAUGGGACGGGCAGUAUUCAAGUGGUAGGAAACGUCCGGUGCGCGAUGCAGUAGCUAUUGACAUUGAUUCCUUUGCUAGAAGACCCAGAAAACCGAGGUUUGAGACACGAGAGGAAGUCAACCAGCGUAUGCUGUCUGUUGAAAGGGCUGUCAGGGAAGCUCUUAGUGCAAAAGGGGAGAGGGCAUUUACUGAUCAAGAGUUCCCUCCAGAUGAUAGAUCUUUAUACGUGGAUCCAGGGAACCCUCCUCUAAAAUUGCAGGUACUGUUCAUGCAUAUAUGUGCUCUUGUGCACUAAAUAUUGUUCAAGUCUUUACAAUUGAUUAUUGUAUGAGUUCAGGUUGUUUCUGAGUGGACGAGGCCUUCUGACAUAGCAAAGGAGAUAUCUAUUAGUUCUCAGCCAUGCUUGUUUUCUGGUUCCGUGAAUUCCUCGGACGUAUGCCAGGUAUAUAGUUUUUGGUUUGUGCCGGUCUGGUAUUUUUCCCUACAGUAGAACUUUUUAGCAAGAUUAAACCAUGUUUUGAUAGUACUAACGAAUUUCCCUAACUGUUCUUUUCAGGGUCGGUUGGGAGACUGCUGGUUCCUGAGUGCAGUUGCAGUUUUAACUGAGAUGUCUCGUAUAUCUGAAGUUAUAAUCACUCCAGCAUACAAUGAAGAAGGGAUUUACACUAUCAGAUUCUGCAUUCAGGUAUUCGAUAUUCUGAACCUAUCUCUGAUACCAUGUGAGGAAAUAUUCAGCUUCUAUUUCCAUGAGGCCAUAGACCGGUAUAUAUACGCGCACAUGUGAAGUAAAUAGAUGGGAUAUUACACCACUCAGAUUAUUGGCGUUUCUCCUAAACCUAGAGAUGUUAGCAAAAGUCCCAUAUUAUAUUUGAUGCCUCUUUGUUAUCAUAUACUCCAACAAACUAACAAAUAUGAAUUACCUUGCUGCCCAUGUGGGCUAGCUGUCCCAAUUUACAUAUAGUACAUUAUGCAUGUAUUGCAGUAAAAAAGAUACCAAAAUUAUUCAUUAGUGCAGUUUAAUCAAUUUAGCACAUGCCUGCAGUCCUGCACAGUUCUGUUCCCCAUUUAAUUUAGUAGAUUAUGCAUACAUGUAUUAUAGAUCAAUUCAUUAGUGAUCACACAAUUUCCCGAUCAAACUCAAAAGUAUCGAAGAGAACGAACUAGUGCACACAGAGAUUUGUCUAGGGUGCAUCAUAGUUUCUCUAGGGUUUAUGCAUUAUUUUCCACCAAUAAUCUAAUUCAUUUUAUGAGCACUAGAGCAUAUGCAUUAUCUUCUGACUUCCGCUAACUUGACUCUUUCUUGAUCACGCUUUUCCACUAGGGUGAGUGGGUGGCUGUGGUCGUGGAUGAUUGGAUUCCCUGCGAGUCUCCUGGAAAACCAGCAUUUGCUACGAGUCGGAAACAAAAUGAGCUAUGGGUAUCCAUUCUUGAGAAAGCUUAUGCAAAACUUCAUGGCUCUUAUGAGGCGCUAGAAGGCGGGCUUGUGCAAGAUGCUCUAGUAGACCUCACAGGAGGAGCUGGCGAGGAGAUUGAUAUGCGGAGUCCCCAAGCACAGAUCGAUCUUGCUAGUGGAAGAUUGUGGUCUCAGUUGUUACAUUUUAAUCAAGAAGGUUUUCUUCUUGGUGCUGGAAGUCCCUCUGGCUCUGAUGCUCAUAUUUCAUCAAGCGGCAUUGUUCAGGGACAUGCUUACUCCAUUUUGCAGGUUUGCUCUCGUUUGUUUGUUUUAACUUUUGGCAGUCUCCAUUCUACGUUGAUACAUUUAUACUGUAUUUUCAGAUAAGAGAAGUUGAUGGCCACAAGCUUGUCCAAAUUAGAAAUCCUUGGGCAAAUGAAGUUGAAUGGAAUGGGCCAUGGUCAGACUCGUCACAGGAGUGGACUGAACGAAUAAAGCAUAAGCUCAAGCAUGUUCCACAGGUACUAAUCUUUUCGCGGCUAUAAUUUUGAGUGAGUAAAUUGUACUCCAUUAGCUUUCAUCAGAAAGGAUUAACAUUGAUUUUUUUUGUAUUACCAGAACAAACAAUAUAUUUUUAUUAUGAAAAAAUGUUCCACACAAUUUUUACCAUCUCAAUGUCUAAGCAAUCAAGUAAACAGAGUGCAGUUUAUUUUAAAAUAGUUUGAAAAUUAAAAAUAUCUUAUUUAUCAGUACUUCAAUAGCCACCCCCUGCAAUCUUUGGUUAUAAAUUGUCUCUUUCGAAAAAUAGGCACCUGCAUUUGAAUUUAUAACCCUCACCACUCACCACAGUAUCUUAUUGUCUAUUACUGUUGUUGCAGUCAAAGAAUGGUGUAUUCUGGAUGUCUUGGCAAGAUUUUCAGAUCCACUUUCGAUCAAUAUAUGUUUGUCGUGUUUAUCCACCUGAGAUGCGCUAUUCUGUCCAUGGGCAAUGGCGUGGCUACAGUGCAGGUGGUUGCCAAGAUUAUGACUCGUGGCAUCAAAAUCCUCAGUAUCGACUAAGGGUAACAGGACGUGAUGCACUGUAUCCUGUCCAUGUGUUUAUUACCCUUACACAGGUAUGUGCCAUCUGCAUGUUAAUAUAAGACUUGAAGAAAGCACUUUGAUGCUGAUUUUGACACGGACUUCUGCUUGUCAGGGUGUUGGUUUCUCUAGAAAGACAAAUGGUUUCAGGAAUUACCAAUCUAGUCAUGAUUCUUCCAUGUUUUAUAUUGGAAUGAGGAUACUCAAGACAAGGGGCUGCCGUGCUGCUUACAAUAUCUACAUGCAUGAAUCCGUUGGCGGGACAGAUUAUGUAAACUCAAGGGAGAUAUCGUGUGAAUUGGUCUUGGAACCUUAUCCGAAAGGAUACACAAUUGUGCCAACAACUAUCCAUCCAGGGGAGGAAGCACCUUUUGUUUUGUCAGUUUUUACAAAAGCACCAAUCAAACUAGAAGCUGUUUAGGGCAAGAUUGAGACUCCAUGCGAUUGCUACUGGUUGCUGUGCCUCACAGCUGUUUGGGGCCGAGUGACACAGAGUCCCAGCUGUGGGUUCAAGAAGACCAGGAAAUGGGUAAGUGCUUAAUCCUUGCAGUUGUCUAUGUUCCGAUUUUGCAUAUUUCCACCGGCAGUAUGGUCUAAUGCUGCAGUGUUCUCCAAACUAUAAACAACCUAGGUGUGCUGCUACAUGCUGCUGCAUUAAUUUAGAUAAAAAGAUGGAAUUCAGAUAACUGACGAACCUUAUAACCAUUUCAGGGUAUUUGCUAAGAGCAUUACACCUAUAGCUGGGAUUUAUGAUGCAGCAGCUCUGCACUUGGACCUGAAUGUGCUGGAAUCCAUCAGGGCGCUCUACUUGCAAGCUGAUGAGAGAAGGCAAUGUUUUUGCUAGCAAAGAAAGAGGAGGUAACGUUUCCAGUCAGCAGGUUGCAUGGCGCGAAUUGAUCGGUGCAUGUGCCGGAUGAGAAGAAUCGUGGCGUUUUGUGUCCAUGCUUGUAGAUAGCGGUGACAGCUGACAUUUAGACCUAGUAGCCCAAUCCUGUGUAUACCUGUCCGUGUUACCCCUGUACAUACUAUAGAGUUAGAUGAGUUUAACCUUGCGCCUGUCGUUCUUAAGCGCAUAUCGCUCUUGUGCAGCUUGGAAAUGCCGUUCUAGCAAGCUGCAGUUUUGCUGAUCCAUAACCUGAGGGUAGUCUGGCCAUAGUUGUUUUCAUUGAUUGCCUGUAUGUAAUCCAAAUCUGAUCUCAUUGAAAGGAAGCGAUUUUUUGGUAUAUGAUGUGAAGCCUCUGUUCCUGUGCUCGUCAUUCACCCAGUGUUGCAAUGACUAAAGGGAUUCUGCUUUUCCCCUACUAAAAUGGAUUCGGAC
rnacentral:lncRNA from 1 species